UAUUUUAAAAGUCUCGCUUAAGUUUCCUUUUAAAGUAUUAAUUUUAUCUAUGUUAUUUCCUGUUAUUAACAGGUCAUCAACAUAGGCUAAUACUAUUGUAGUAUCUUUAUCAUCAAUGUUUAUGAACAGUGAAUAAUCUGUCUUACAUUGUUUGUAUCCAAAAUUGGAUAGAGCCUUUGACAGAGUUUGAUACCACACUCUGGAGGCUUGUUUUAGGCCAUAUAGUGACCUAUUCAGUCUGCAGACUGAAUUUGGUGGUGAGUCUUUUGGUAUGUCUAGACCCAGGGGAAUUUUCAUGUAAAUAGUUUCUUCUAGAGUUCCAUGUAGAAAAGCAUUUUGUACAUCCAUUUGAUGCAUGUGCCAUUUCUUGGAUAUUCCUAUUGCUAAAAUGACUCUGAGUGUUGUCAUUUUUGAGACAGGGGCAAAGGUUUCUGUGAAAUCAAUCCCCUCAAUUUGGUUGUAUCCUUUUGCAACCAAUCUAGCUUUAUGUUUUUCAACAGUUCCAUCACUGUUGAAUUUGGUUUUGUAAACCCAUUUGCAGCCAAUUGGUUUCUUUCCUUCAGGAAUGCUAGUGAUUGUCCAGGUUUUGUUGUUUUCAAGAGCCUCAAGUUCUUGUUUCAUAGCAUUGUUCCAUUUGGCAUGUUUGGAGGCUUCUUUGUAUGAGCCUGGAUCAUUGUUGCUUUCUAUUGUUGUGAUGAAAGCAUAGUGUUCUGGGGUGAAAUUUUGGUGUGAGAUUUCUUUCCCUAUUGGGUGUCUAGAUGAUGCUAGUUGUAGUUUGUAAUCUUUUAGGUAUGAAGGCAUUUUUCUAGUUCUUUUUGAUGUUCUGUUAGUGCCCUCAUUGUCUGCUGGUGUUGGUGUUUCAGCUAUUUCUUCCUCUUCUUCUGACUCAUAUUGUUCAGUGAGUUCCAUUGAAGGAGGAAUGUUGGAAAUUUGAGGAAUUAUCUCCUCAUCUUCCUCUGACUCAUAUUGGUCAUAUGAGGGAGUGAUGUAUGUGUUUGUUUCUUCUAAUGGUUCUUUGUUGAAGAAGUCUUCCUCAUGUUGUUUGGGUUUUUCUUGAAAUGGAAAGAUUUCUUCAUGGAAAGUAACAUCCCUGUUUGUGAAUAUUUCUUGGUUUGAUAGAUUGAGUAUCUUAUAACCCUUUCUUUGGAAAGAGUAUCCUAGGAAAAUUCCCUUAAUGGCUCUGUUUUCGAAUUUUGUCUUUGUUUUGUUAUUUGUAGCAUAGCAAAGACAUCUGAACACUCUUAGGAUAGAGAGGUUUGGUUGCUCAUUGAACAGUCUGUAGUAAGGGGUGUCAUUGUCUAAGACAACAGCUGGGGUUCUAUUUAUUAGGAAUACAGCUGUUAGGAUGCAUUCCCCCCAAUAUGUAAGGGGGAUGUUGGAUUGGAUCAUAAGUGACCUGGCCACUUGUAGUAUGUGCUGGUGUUUUCUUUCUACUCUCCCAUUUUGUUGAGGAGUGUAAGGACAUGAUAGUUGGUGUGCUAUUCCAUUUGUUUUUAUGAUAUUUUGGAAUUCUUUAGACAGGAAUUCUGUUCCAUUGUCUGUUCUUAUGGUUUGGAUCGUUGCUUGGUGUUGAUUUUUAACAUCCAAGAUGAAUUGUUUGAAUUUUCCUAAUGUUUCAGCUUUGUUUGUCAUCAGGAAGGCCCAGGUAGCCCUUGAAUAGUCAUCUACUAUGGUCAGAAAGUAGUUGUUUCCUUGAUGUGUAGGUGUAUGGAACUUGCCCCAAAUAUCUAGAUGAAUAAGCUGAAAACAUUUUGUAGUUUUACUUGUGCUAGAAUUAAAAGAUAACCUUGUUUGUUUUGACAAAGGGCAUGUAUUACAAAAUUUUGAAAAAAUUUUAGGAAUACAAUUGUUCAAUAAAUGUAGAUGAUAGAAUCUAGAAGGUGCAGGAUGUCCAAGCCUUCUGUGCCAGAUUUCUUCAUCUUUAGAUUCCCUUUGUUGGCUGUGGUUGGCCUGGGGUGAUUCUAGCUUUAAUAUGUAUAGACCAUCUUUCUUCUCACCACCACCAAUCUGGUUUCCCUGCUGGUCCUGUAUGGAACAGAAAGUAGGGUGGAAGGUGAAUAAGCAAUUUAUAUCUUUUGUUAACUUGCUUACAGAUAGAAGGUUUACUGAGAAGGAUGGUAUUUUAAGGACAUUGUGUAAAACAAUGUCUUUUGACAGGGUUGUGGAGCCACUUGAUGAUACUCUUGUGGUUUGUGAGUUUGGAAGGUGUAUGUUAAUUGGGUACAGGAGUGUUUUUAUGUUCUGUAGUUUGGUGUUGGGGGAACACAUGUGAUCUGUUGCCCCUGUGUCAAUGAUCCAUUGAUCAUUUUUUGUUUCAGUGUGUGGUUUUGUGUGUGUGUUUAAGGAGUAAUGAAAACAAGUAUUAUUUUUAUAAUGUGACUUACCAGAUGAGCUUCCAGAAGCCAUGUGAGCCUGACUCUGCUUCCCUUUGGAGAAUCCUCCCAGUAUGUCUAUUAGCUCUUCUCUGGUGAUGAACUUGUUUUCAGUUUUAUCUUCAUUGGGUUUUGGUUCAUCUUCUUCUUGUUGUGUGCUAGCAUUGUUGCUUUGGUAUUUGCCUUUCUGUCCUUUGUUGGGCCUGCCAUUGUAGUUUUUCUUUCCAACAAAUUUUGUGUCCUUCUUUUUGUUGAAAUCUACCCCAUGGAGCCCAUGUCCUGCUGGAAAUCCAUGCUCAUAGAAGCAUGUUUCCAGAGUGUGGUUGUGUUUCUUGCAUCUUGUGCAGUAGGGUUUGGAAUCUUCACUCUGAAUAUGUGUCUUUACCUGAGGAUCUUUAGAUUGUGCUACUAUGGCAUUGCCUUCCUCAGGGUAUACACAUUCCCUUUGAGUUUCUUCUUGUAGAACCAUGCUAAAAGCAUCUUCUACUGAAGGUGGGGUUUUCUUCUUCAGAAUCUGUCCUCUGAUGGUCAUGAAGGAGUCAUUCAGACCAGUUGUGAAGGUGAUUAAUCUCUCCAGAUUUUCCUUUGCUAUGCAGUUAGCAUUGCCGCAGCAUUCAAAUAUCUGGUUGUUGUCUAGUUCGUUCCAGAGUCCCUGUAGUUUGGCAUAGUAAUUGCUUACAGAUUCACUGCCUUGAGUGCAUAGUGCAAUCUGCCUUUUGAGUUGAGAAAUAACCAGGGAGUUUGCUCUGCUGUAUUUCUGUUUGAGAUUUUGCCACAAGAUGUUGGCAUCUUUAAUGAAGAUUGUGCUGCUUUUGAUUUCCUUGGAGCAGCUGUUUAGUAUCCAUGCUGUGACUAGAUCAUUGCAUCUGAUCCAGGGUAUGAAGUAGUUAUCUGUGUUUUCUGCUGGUUUUGUAAUGGUUCCAUUUAUGAAACCCAGUUUGUUUUUGGUGGAUAGAGAUCUUUGAAUUUCAACCACCCAUGUCUGAUAGUUUGAUCCACUGAGUGGAGUUACUACCAGGCUUGUGUUGGGAUUAUCACUCCCUGAAAUAUAGUAUGGAUUUCCAUCUUUGAUUUUAAACUCAUCAUUCUUUGUUGUCAUUUUCAGAUAAAAAUGAGAGGAGGGAAAGAAGGCUGAUGAGAAGGCACACCAGGAAUCUCAGGAGAAUGAGAGAGUUGAGAAGGCAGAAUAUGAAUGUGGAGGCCUUGGAGUAUUUUGGUGAUGUGGAAGAUGUGUACUCUUCCUCUGACUCUGAGUAUGAGAGACCUGUUCCUGUGUGGGAUAUUGAUUUUCCCUCAGAUAGUGAUGGAGAAGAUGGUGUGGUGUGUCAGGAAUACUAUUAUGACUAUGAUAGUGAUGAUUCUAUGCCUGACUAUGAGAUGUGGAGUGAUCCAGAUGUGGGCCUGAAUUCUGAGGGAGAGAAGGAAAAUGGUGUUCUGGCAGUAGAGAUUCCACUACCUCCUCGUCCUCUACAAGAAUUCUUUGACAAUAUCUGGAGAAACAGGAUUGUUUUUGAUGAUUGACAAUACUGUUGUGUUGAAACAGAAGAGAUAUAGUUUUGUGUUUUUGAAACAGUUUGUAAUGCUGUUUCCUUUUUGUAAACAGAAUUGAUAGUGCAAGGAAAAGAAAUGAUUUUAGAAUAGAAAAAAAAUAUUUUGAUCAGGAUUGAACCUUCUCUGAUACCAUGACAGAGGUUAUAUUUGAAAUAUAUGCAAAUAUAAAUAUGAAAUAUGGUUUAAGAAUUGAAUUAUCGAUGUAUGUAUGAUGAUAUGAUAAUGAACUGUAAAUUGAUACUGUAGGAUGAUCGAUUGAUGAAGCGAUGAUCCACAGCUUGUUGAAGUGGGUUGAAUGUGAUUGAACUUGAAUCUGGGAUUCAAGCUGUUGUGUUGCGGAAGCGUUUGAAGAUUAGCAGUUCCAGUUGCAGAAUUGAUCAGACAGAGUAACACAAAGUCUGUAAUUAUAAUACAGAGUGUGUGGGUGUGUAUAAUCGUGUGUUAGGCUUAAACUAGGAUUAGAUAAGUUUAUAUAGAAGAACACCCAACGGCUAUGUUGGUUGGGUGUAUUUAAUUAUGGUAAUUAAUGUAUAUAGGAAUGUGUAAUAUGGAUUUGGGAAUUAAUAUAAGAUUGAAUAUUUGAUUGAUAUUUAAAUAUGAAAAGAUGUGAUGAGAAUGUGAAGAGUUGUGAUGAAAUAAGAGGGUGUUAAUGAUAAUUUUAUUAUAAUGUUAUAUGUGUAAUUUAUUUUAAGGUGGGGGUAUAUCUCUAAUAAUAUACAACUUGCCUUUUUUCUAUUUUGUAAUAUUCUUCAUAGGCUUGUAAGAUUUUACAUAUUUCGUUUUUUCUUUUUCUUCUUCUCCUUCUCCUCAGAAGACAAUCUCUUUUUCUCAGAAUUAGUGUCUAUAUUCAUAUCUAAAAUUUUCGGACAAGUUUCCUCUUCAUUUGCAAACAUGGGGAGGUCAUUCAUAUCCUCAUCGGCUCGCUCUUCAUGAAUCUCCCUAGCAGCCUUCUUAAGUUUCUUGCUUGCCUGCAUCUUCUUCUUCAUCCUACGACUAUUCUUUUGGACCACAGGACUUCUUCCGCUUUUUUUUGCAAUCAUUUGUUUCCUGUCCUCCUCCAUCAGUUUCUUUAAGGUGUUGUUGAAGUCACUGUCGAUUCUUUUUCUCUUCGACGUUUCUGGCUUGUCACCUACAACAAUUGAUCAUACUUAGUGCAUAUUUUAUAAGAAAAACAGUAUUACAUACAAUUUUUACCUCUACAGCUUUUUCUUUUUGACAGUAUAAACUGAUCUGGAUCAGGAGAUGAAUCUCGGUCAUAUGCCGAGAAGUCGAAAUCGACAUCUUUGAUGAUGUCUUCUAUAAGUCUGUCUGCCUUUACACGAUCACUUUCUGAAAUUUUAGCAGAUAAAUCAAACAUUAUAACACACCAAUUAAUGGCAAUGACAUACAUUAAGAAAAUAUAAAAAUGCAACAACACGUAUACAAACUACUAUUGCAACAACAAAAACAUGAUAUUAUAUUGAUUUAGAGUAGGUAAACCUUUUACCUACGGCACUUGCACGUACAGAACCGCGUACAUCCGAUCCCCUUAGUUUCUCCUUCGAUUUAUCUGAAUUCGAACUUGUCAUUUCGUCUGUAAUUUACUGUGCAAACAAACAAACAUCAAUUACAUUCUAACAAAUUAGCACAAUACAAUACCUACAUAUAUAAAGCACAAUCGAAAUUUCAUUUGACCUACUACACUGACUAGACCAUAGGUGACUGAAGUAUCAUACACUUAUACACUCACAGAUUUAUAAAUGACAUUAUCAGAACUACAAAUAUAAUUAUCAUAAUACACUAAUACAUUUUUUUACAUUAUUUUAACGGAACAGAACUCUAUAUUAACAAUAACAACAUAUUAAAGUGAAUAUUAACAUAUCAAAAUAGCAAAUUAAUUCAAGGGAAUAUGAAGAUAUCUAAAUCGCAGACAAUAAUAGGGAACAUAAACAUAAGAUUUUUAUCUAUAUCGCAGAGAGAAUACAUAGAAAAGACAUGCAUUUUCCAUUAUCUCUACUCAACAAAGAAAAAUGAAUAACACCAACACAAAAUAAAAAUCCCUAAAACAUUUCCUAUUUAUAAAAAGACCUAGGGUUUUAUUCUUAACAGUUGUAGUUGUAACUGCCCACGUCUAUUGGGUAAAAAAUGUCAUCCCAUUUCAACGGUUGUAUAAGGAAGUAUUUGGCCAACAAAUGCGGUUAGAAUUUUUUAUUACACACAAUAGAGACCAAUAACAAAAAAAAACAUUUUGUAACCAUAACCAACAGUAGAGAAUAAAAAAAAUAGAUGGGUGGAAACGAAAAUGAAGAAAACCCAUAAAUAAAAUGGCCGAAGAAAGAAUCUAACCAUACCGCGCGCUACUGUUGGAAUAGAAAGUUCCGAUGACAACGGCUAGAGGAACUGCAGAUGCCGAUGAUUGCAAGCGUUUGAAAGAGGGGAACGAUCGGAGGCCACGCAGUGAACGUCGCCUGGAAAAGGGUUUUUCCAAUCGUCAGGGGUGAGGGUUUCCGUGGGUUUAGGAGGGAGAACGAAAAUGAAAUUUUAUUUUUUGAAUAGAAUAGAUGGGUGACGUUACUGGUUGUGGAAGCUUCAGUGUACGGUAGUACCAAGCUACUACUAGGUACCAGAUACCUAUUUAAUAUUUUUAAAUUUUUUUCCCAACAGGUUGCAUGCAACCGGGAACUUCUUUAACAGGUUGGUAUGCCAAAAAAUGGAUGGUCCAGAUUGGUCCUAAAAACGGACGGCCAAGAUGAGGAAGGGCCUUCUUAACUGAUAUACACCGUAAAUCAAUAAAUAAAAUUACACAAUAAAACAGAGUAAAAUAUUGUUACAACCUACAAACAUUCUCUUUUCAGAUUCAAUCCCCAUUAGUCAUUUACUCACAUCAAAUAGUGUACAACUAAGUGUAGAAACAGAAGGGAAGAACAAUGAAAACCCAAACACACAUCACAUCAAAAAAUUCGAAAAAUCAGACAAGGAGAUAAACUAUCAAGACACAUACCGAAGAGUUGGCGAGUGAGACCUAGCAGGUGCCUUCCCGUUAUGCUCGCCACUGGGGUUCGACAUGAUAAUCUUAGAGAUGAUGUGUAGUCACUGAUGGGUAGAAAUCGUCACUGGGAAAAAAAACGCCGCUGGUAGAAAUUGAAUAACGAGAGAUGAAUGUAUGAUAAAAGAGAGGGUUUCAAAAUAGGAAUAAGAGAACGAGGUUGGCACAGUAGCAUCCUCCUUCCAUCCAUCGGUCUAUAAGAUGUUCAGUGUACAAUCACUGCCGAUGUGUCAUAAACUAUCAUUCAAGGCUAGCAUGUCAUGCGAACGGUUAAAAUUCAAACACAUCAAGUGGACGGUGGGGAUUAAGUUCGCACAUAGUGCGCAUAUCCGAGUUCGCAGCAGAAACGUUCUCUAUAAAUAUAAUAAUAUUAAUUUAUUAGGGCCAACCUGAAGCGUGAGAACUUUCAAUCCUUGCCCUUCAUCUACAUCCGACGGUCAUUAAUUUAAUUCAUUUUUUCUAUUAUUUGGGGGAAGAUCCACAUGCAUAAUCUCUAUUUUGUCAUCAUUCACUAACAACAUCCAUUUGUCCAAUGUGUUUUGUCACCAUUCACAUCUACUUUUCUCACCUACUUUCCACCUACUUUUCACUUUUACUUUUACCCUUCUCUCUCACUCACGUUUCCUCCCCUUCCUUCAUCCCCUUCUUAAACCCUAUUUCCACCCAUUCCUUACCUCUAGUCUCUUCUUACCAUUUCUAACCUUCUCUAUAUCCUAUAAAAAAAUGGUCAUCGGAUCUCCCCACAUAUCUGCCCAGGUAUGUUGUUCGUUUUUUUUCCCCACUCUAUUUCCCUCCUCAAUAAGGUAUUUUCAUGAAGGGUUGGGUUUGCACUAUUUGUACAUUUAUCUCCAAUCUCUUUCACAGUCCACAGUACACAGUGCACUGCGCACAGUACAUAGUGCAUAGUUAAUAUUCAACACUAAUAUUCGAUUACGCAUAGUGCAAAUUGCAUACUUAAUAGUGAAUAGUACAUAGUUCAUACAGCACAUUCGUGCGUAGCACGUACUGCAUAGUUCAUAGUGCAUAGUUCAUGGUGUAAAGUGCAUAGUUCUUAGCGUUAUAGUACAUGGUACGUUUUCGAUAGUGCAUAGUGCAUAUUUCUUCGUGAAUGAUACUUACUACCGAAAAAUGCAAUUGUAGAAUGUUGAUCAAGGUCAUAAUCACUCGGAACCGAACACAGAAACUAUUGGAUCGUCUAGUACACCGUAUCUUCCCGAAGUUGGCCAACUAUUCAACUCGCACGACGAGGCCAGAGAUGCGUAUAUGAGUUACGCAGGCAAUAUAGGUUUUAACGUUCGUAUGGGGUCAACCAAAAUUAGCGAUCACGAAAUGGUUGGGUGACGUAUGUUGUGUUCUAAACAAGGAUAUGCCCCCUCAACCGACACGGCAAAUAACGUGAAUGAGAAAAAAUAGCGUCGUAUAAGAAAUUCACGUUCAGGAUGUCUUUCCAUGAUCUACAUAUCUCUAGACCGGUCCACAAGAUUAUGGAGGGUUGUUCAUUUCAUUGAAGAUCACAAUCAUCCAUUGGUGACCCCAUCGAAGAGGAGAUACAUACCAGUAAAUCGUGUUAUUACUCCUUUAUCAAGGGCAUUGUUUCAAUCACUAAACACAUCUAAUAUUUCCCCGAGUGAUCAAUAUUGUGUUGCUUCUCAAGAGGCUGGAGGAUUUGAUCAUAUGCAGUACACACCAUCGGACCUAUCAAACAUGAGACGCGACGACCGAUGCAAUAUUAUUCAAAGAGACGCAGAUUUACUAAUUGAACUAUUUGAAGAAAGAAGGAACAAAUCGUCCGACUUCUUCUCAUUCACUAUGCAUGACAACGGUAAUUUAUUUGUCAUAUACGUAAUUCAAUUUAUUACAUAUCUCUGCACAAAUUUCACUAUCGUCCAUCCAUUCUAUGCAGGUCAUCUAUCCAACUUAUUUUGGGUCGAUCCUGGGUGUCGCCAUGACUACGAUCUAUUCGGGGAUUCGAAUACAUUUGAUACGACAUACAAGAUAAACAAAUAUAAUUUGGUUCUAGCACUUUUCUGUGGAGUGAAUCAUCACAAGAACACAAUUAUAUUCGCGGUCGGUUUCCUGUCACGCGAGAAUGUUGAAUCUUUCGAAUGGAUAUUCAAUGAAUUCUUAAAUUGUAUGUCAAAGCAUCCGAAGAUUAUUAUUACCGAUCAGGACCCUGCAAUGAAAAACGCACUAUUGAACAUUUUUCCAAAUACAUUUCACCGAUUCUGUCUAUGGCACAUCACACAUAAAAUGGGUGACAAAAUUGGACGUACAUAUUAAGAUCGCUCUGCAAUGGCUAAAUUUCAUGAUUUUCUGAACAAUUCCUCCAGCAUAGCAUCUUUCGAGGAAUCAUGGUCAGCAUGGGUCUCAGACAACGGUCUGAAAGAUAAUAUCUGGUUGAGAGACAUCUAUAUAAUUCGGUUUCAAUGGUGCCCCAUCUACAUGAUUGAUCAUUUCUUCGCAGGAAUGAAAACAACACAACGUAGUGAAAGAAUGAAUAGUAUAGUCAAAAUGAAAAUAAGAUCAUAUUACACACUACUAGAAUUUCACUCAAAAUACAAAUAUGUCAUGUUAUCCCUACGUAAAAAAGAAAACUCGAAGGAUCAUCAUGGUCAGUAUGUACCACAGAAAAUAUUAACUUCAUUGGUCAUUGAAAGGCAAAUGUGCGAACUUUAUACACAUGAGGUAUUCAUUGACUUCCAAGAUCAGACGCUUCGUAGUAUGCACUACUUCAUUAGACCUAGACACAUGGAAAAUCAGGUAACUACAACAAGAGCAAUUAUUUUAUUGAUUUUGCUAAGGUAACACAAUAUCAACUUCAAAUAUUGACUUCCCUUCUUGCACUAAUUAUCGUGGCCCUCAAAUUCUUUUCCAAUACAGAUCUUCGACGCAAUAUCCAAUGGAUCAUUCGAGGUAUCAGGUACUAUCCACAUCAGGGAAGAGGGUGUGUACGCAAAAUGCACUUGCCGUUUGUUCGAAUCAUUUGGAAUUCCAUGCAGGCACCUCAUCUGCUACCUAACACUGAACACCAUAUCUAUUUUACCAGAAACAUUAGUGUGCAAUCGGUGAAGAGCUAUACAAAGAAAAAGGCCGACGACAUCAAGCAAUACAACCGAUUUAAAGGACACUGAAAAUCUACGACCAUUAUUCAAUCACCUUAUCUCGUUAGCAGGUGAGAGCGAGCCCAAAAUUAUCUACACAAGGAAAAUAUUAGAGGACGACGACAUUAAAUCCAUUACGGAUAACCAAACAGGAAGCGACAUUGCCAAAGUUCAUGGCUCAAUAACAAGAUUCCAUGAUUCGAACACACAAAGCAUCGAUAUUGGCAAUCCUGAAAUGGCUAGAACCAAGGGUUGCGGAAAUGGAGAGCGUCCAUCCAAAAAAUCAGAAAGAUUCAUUUCCAAAAGGAUGAUCAAUAUGCCAAAACAAAGAUCGUGCUCUAUCUAUGGAAUCAAGGGACAUGACAAACGUUCAUGUCCAUCAAAAGAUCACAUUUAUCAACAAGAGUAAGAAGAAACCAUAGAGAUCACAUGUCCAAAAUGUGUUUGAAAUGCAAAUUUGGAUAAUUUUCUUUGCAAAUCUAUGUAAUUUAAACAUUCUAUUGAAUGAUAAAUUGUUUUUCAACGUUAGGCAAAACAUUUUAAUACCUCAAGGUCAUGGAUAAAUUGUAAUCAUACUAACACAAUAAAUAUUCAUGAUACCCUACUACACUAACAAAUAUACAAAAUAAGAACAAUCAAAACAUUUCAAUCGUCGUUAUCAUCAUACGAAUUCCAUCUAACAAAGACCAUUUUGUUGCAUUCAAAUCUUUGUCUAGUCCAUAACCUACAUGACCUAAAGCUAACGCCUCAAUUGUCAACAACAUUCGCAAACCAUUGUUGUCAUCUUUACAUUUAACCUGUGGGAACCGCGGUUCAACGAUCCUCUGCCAUUCCUUUUCAUUGAAUUUGUCAAAGCGUAAUGUCAGAUAUGCAUUCAUCCAACCAGCCUGCAUAUUGCGGAAUGUAUAAACCACUACGAGCAAUGCAAAAAAAAUAAUACCAAAAAUUAAUACAAUAGGAAUUUCAUUCAAUACCACUCGAAGAAAUUCUCGAUAGUGUUUGGCUUGAUUCUUUCUUGAGUUAUAGUGCGUCAUUGUGCAACCAUCAAAAUUAACAGUAAGAAGAUGUCAAUGGUCGCCUUGGUUUAUGGGAACAAAGAUUUUAUCAAUUUGUAAAUCAUUUACUUUAUCGGUCAUCAUCUCCAUAUAGAACUGGGUUUCCAAAUUACCACUACCACCUAUGUAUCCCUUGUAUUUCAAGAAUGUGUUUGCGGGAAGAAUUUCAUAACAUGCCCUAUCUUUACCAUCUAUCGCGACUUUGUUAAGUAUGACCUCCGCAUACAAAUCAAUCAACCACAACACAGUACAUGCAAUAAUUGUUAGAUAAGUCAUGAAAACAUACGAUACUAUAAUAAAAAAACAUAAGCAAUUUUAUAUUUGUAUGUCAAUAAACCUCGACACCAUAUAACUUGCUUUCUAAAAUAUGCAGGACCUGCUCCCUAGUGCAUCUACGCCCUUGGUAUUCAAUAGUGCAUCUUCUUUUUCUACAAAUUUGAAUGGACCAUCCAAUCAUCAUAGUAAUCGAAAAAUAUAAACCAUACAUAGAUAAUUUCAAAUACCAAAACAUGCCCUAUCAUCUGUAAUUCUUUCGCAAAACCUAUCCGAGAGUAUAUUUUCUUCCUCUAGUUUUUAUAUUUCUUUAGAUCAUCUGCCUCUUCCUUCAUUACAGCAACCUCAAGUUCAGCAAUUCUCUCCCUUUCUAACCGAUUAGUCCUCUGCACCAAAAUAACAAACUUCAAUAACAAUACAUAUGAAAAGACACAAAUAAAUAAACAUCAUUAAUUGCAUAACCUGGAGCUCUCUCUUUUUCUUAAUCCUUUGCACUCUAGAGGGAACAUCUCGUUUCAAUACAUCCUGCUCUCCCGCAUUUCGACCAAUCAAAUCCUCUCCCCGGACAGCCAUCUUUUCCAAACGAUCUGCACUACCCUCUUCAUCAGUCCCCAACUUGUGAACUUCGUGCGGAGAUGCACCUUCAAUUUCUAACUGAUUAACAUCAAACUUAUGCAUAAGAUCUCCCCCACGACCCUCUACCUCACUCCAUAAAUUAGGAAGCCCAUCCACAUAUAUAAUAAAUCCAUCCGCGUCAACUACGAAUGGAGUAUCCAUCGGAGGACCUCGAUCUUCAGGAUAACUAGGGAGGGUAGCGAUAAGGUAUCCAGGAUUAGUUCUUUUUCGAAAAAUAUUGUCGCGUCUGUCCUCACUGCAGUCUACUUGAAGACCCCCAGGCUCUGGGUUUCCAUAUAUGUCUAUUUCUGAAAGACCAGGGUAACUAGAGAAAAACGACGUUUUCUUGGUUGCUUCGUUACCAAUUGAUUCUCCCUGACUGCCAUUGCUAUCGUAGUCCAAACAUACUUCCUGACCCUCAUUGCAAGGAUAAUACCACCAUCUAUCAGUCCCAACAGAUACAUCUUCAGACUUUCUGUGAAUCUCAUCGGAAAUAUCUGGAUCUUGAGGAUGUCCCACUAUCACAUCAUCCACAUUAUCCAGCUCUUCAAGAAGGUUCCUACCACGCAUUGAGCGAUCCAUAUCCGUUUGCCUUCUUGGUUUGUUGGAAGACUCACUACAGAGAUCACGACCGACAAUUUCAGGAGUACGAAGUGAACUAGAAUUAUGAGUCAGAUCGUCACUAUCAUCAUGCACACUAUCAUGAACCUCGUUCGAUGUACAAUCGUGGUCGGAGCUGCUCGACUGACCUUCGGUAGACGUUUCGGUUUCCUGAUUUAACUCCAAGAUUGUGAAAAAAUAGAGAACAUAAUAAUAGAGUUGGAAUUGACAAAAUCAAAAUAUUAAAUCAUCAUUUUAAUUGUCAAUUUUAGAUCCUUAAUAUACUAGAAUAAAAAACUCAUGCAUUUACUUAGCAGCAUUGAGUAAACCUAAAACUUCGGAUCAUAAUACAUGCAUGCAUUGCAAAUUUCAAAUAUAAUCAACAUCAAUUUAAUUUGGACCUAAACGUCUCCACUAACCAUGUCCGCAUCCUCUGCAGCUAACUUGUACGUCCGAGGAACUUCGGAUAUUGAGGACAAAUAAAAGGAGAAAUGAAAUAGAAAUAGUGGGGAAGAAUGACUAUAGAAAUGGAAUAGAAAUAGUGGGCAAGAACGGGGAAGAACAAUGUUAAACCCAACACACAUCACACCCAAAAAUUUCAGAAGCAAAUAUAAGGUCAUUAACUAUCAAAACACAUACCGAACAGGGGACGCUUCUGCUGCAAACUGUUAUUUGCGCACUAAGUGCGAACCAAAUCCCCACCAGAAGCGUCCCAUUUGUAAGACUUUAAUUUUAUGUAAAUGAUCUAAGCACUAUGAGGAAAUGAAGGAACAUGGAAAUGAAAUAAGGAACUUAACCUAAUCUUAUGUAAAAGGAAAAAAAAUUAAAUGAGGGAUUAUAAAACAUCAGAACCGAUUUUUAACAUUAGAAUGAUCAAAAACAAGGGAAAAAACCAAGAUCAAGAUAGAAUAAACGUGAAGCAGCAAAACUACUAAAGAUUAGGUGAAAAAAUAGAAAAUCAGAGUAAACUCAUCCUCAAGAUCAAAUAUAGAAGGUAAAUUAGGGGGGACCAGAACCCAUUUGUAAGAAUUUGAUUUUCGAAAAGAGGGGAAAAAAUUUUAAACACUGCUAGAGAAACACUGCUAAAAAAUCAAAACAACAAGAAAUACGAAUUAAGAAAUGGAAAAAAAAUUACAAAACAUACGAAAAAUACCUAAACUGAUAUAGACGCAAAGAGGAAACCGGGAAUGAGGAAAUGAAAAAAUGACGAUAUCAGGAGAUGAGGACGAAAAAACAUAACCGGAAAUGAGUGAUACCUGGCCGGAAACUUCCCAUCACGAGCACCGGAUGUGUUCGACAUGACGUACUACGGAAGGAAGAUUGAAAAACGCGGCUGAGAACAGAGGGGCAACGAAAAAUAGAAGAGGGAAAAUGAGAUGUGGAUGGCAACAAUUAGACUGUGUUUCUGAUUUCAAUAGGGGAUUGCUGGUAAAGUGAAUUCAACCAUGCGUCCACCGGUCUGUUGGAGGUUCAGCGUACUAUUGUCUGCAUGAGUGUCCUUCAAUCUGGAAAAUACUUACAUCAACAAUGGACGGUUAAAAUCAAAUUGGUUGGAUUGGACGGUCAAGAUAGAGUUCUCAGAUAGUGCUCAUAUAAAGGUUUUUAGUAGAAGCGUUCUGUAAUUUAUUAUAUAUUUAUCCAGAUAUUAAGAUAUCCGAAUUCGAAUAUCCAAAUCCGAAAUUCUUAAACGAAUUCGGAUUUUAUCGACGGAUUUUCUGGAUAUCCGAAUCCGACCGAAUAAAAUUCGGAUUUCAAUUCGAUAUCCAAAUCCAGAUUCGAAUACACAUUUCGGUAUACGAUUUACAGACUUGGCCAAGUGGAUAUGCGUCCUGACCUCAACUAAUUUGGUUAUCCGCCAGGAACAACACGAAGGUCCCUCGAGGUACGCCCGAUGUAAUUUCGACGACAUCUAGCACAGUUAUCGUUACUCGUCAGGUGAAAACAGGUAUCGUGCGUGAUAAUUUUUGAUUGUCCAUCCGUUUGUGGAUGAAAUCUGAAUUAGAGUUGUGAUAUUAGUUCUUAUUGUAAGCUCUUCAAAAAUUUAGCUUUCAAAUACUUAGAUUUUACACACAAAAAUCAAAUUUUAAUUCUUUCUAUCACAUCAUUGGUUAUGGUUCAUUGUCUAAUUGAUCGAAUAGAAUAGUACAUUUUAUGAUAUUAAUUUUCAAUGGAUUAAAAAAUCAUAGGAAUGACUAAUGAUGUGACAAAAUAAAAAAUAAAUAAUACACAGAUUUUAGGAUAAUUAAAAUAUAUAUAUUAAUUACCUUUAAAUAUAAUUUUAAUGUUGACAUAAAACUCCAUUUUUAACCAGCAAAUACAAUCUGUAAAAAAACAUUAUAAAAAUAAAAUACACAAUUUCAUUAAUAACUAAAAAUACAGAAAAUGAAGGACCAACAAUAAUCCGUAUGUUUUGUAAUUUUUUUGUGGAUAAAAAUGGUGAGAACUUUAAAUCCAUGCCCUUCAUCUACAUCCAAUGGUCAUUAAUAUAUUUCAUUAUAUAUAUUUUUUGGGGGGAAGAUCCCAAUGCAUUAUAUUUUUUUUGUCAUUAUUCACCUAGUACAUCCCUUUGUCCAAGGUAUUUUUUCACCAUUCACAUUUGUUUUUCUCUCCUACUUUUCACCUACUUCCUCACUUUUUUUUUCCCUUUUCUCUCACUAACGUUUCUUCCCCUUCCUUCAUCCCCUUCUCAAACUCUAUUUCCUCCCUUUCCUUACCUCUAGUGUCUUCUUCCAUUUCUAUUAAUCUCUCCAUCCACUCAAAAAAAUGGUCAUCGGCUCUCCACUAAUAUCUGCUUAUGUAUGCUUACGGUUUUUCCCCCCACCGUAUUCCUUUCUCAUUUACUUAUUUUCAGCAAUUGGGUUUGCACUAUUUAUACAUUCAUCUCUUUUUCUUAGUCAACAGUACAUAGUGCACUACGCACAGUAAUAGUGCAGUGUAAAUAUCCGAGACUCACAUUCGCUGACACAUUGUACAAAUUACAUGGAAGUAGUGAACAGUGAUUUUAAUAUUGCAUGACAUAGUACACAGUACAUAGUGCAAAACACAUAGUACAUAGUGCAUAUCGCAUAAGAUGCUAAUAGUGCAUGUCUGACACUUCGCACAUUCAAUAUUAGUACGUGCUCCAUAAUAACUACUAAGAUUGGAUGACCUACAAUCUCGAUCAUAGCAUGCAUCCAUAGUUCAUAUUGAAUAUUACAAUGUGCAUAGUGCAUAUUACAUCAAUGUAAUUUCUACAUUCAAUUAAAUGUCAACUAGUUUUACAACUAUUCAAAUCAGACUACUAUACAAACAAUUAUUCAAAAAAUUUAAUUGUCAUAACAUCUCAAUCGUCAAAAGUAGUCAUCAUACGAAUUCCGUCUAACAAAGACCAUUUCGCUGCAUUUAAAUCUUUGUCUACUCCAUAUCCCACAUGACCUAAAGCUAACGCCUCAAUUGCUAACAACAUUCGCAAACCAUUAUCGUCAUCUUUACAUUUAACCUGUGCGAACCGCGGCUCAACUAUCCGUUGCCAUUCCUUUUCAUCGAAUUUAUCAAAUCGUAAUGUCAGAUACGCAUUCAUCCAACCUGCCUGCAUUCCGCAGAAAGUAUAAACUACUAUAAGCAAUGGAUAUAAAAUAACAAAGAAAAAUUAGUGAUGUUUUAUUUUAUUUCAAUACCACUCGAAGAAAUUCUCGAUAGUGCUUGGCCUGAUUCUUCCUAGAGUUAUAGUGCGUCAUUGUACACCUAUCAAAAUUUACUGUAAGGAGAUGUCAGUGGUCACCUUGGCUUAUGGGAACAAAUAUUUUAUCAAUUUGUAAAUCAUCUACUUUAUCAGCCAUCAUCUCCAUAUAGAACUGCGUUUCCAAAUUACCACUCCCACCUAUGUAUCCCUUAAAUCUCUUGAAUGUGUCUGCAGGUAGAAUUUCAUAAGAUUCCCUAUCUUUACCAUCAACCACGACUUUGUUUAAUACGACCUCCGCAUACAAGUCAAUCAACUAUAAUACAGUACAUCGAAUAAUAGUUGGAUAAUUCAGGAAAAAAACAAUGCUAUACGAACAUGUAAAUACCAAUUGAACAUUUGUAAUUGAAUAAACCUCUACACCAUAUAGCUUGCUUUCUAAAAUAUGCAAGACCUGCUCCCUAGUGCAUCGACAUCCUUGAUAUUCAAUAGUUGCUCUUCUUUUACUACAAUUUUUUUGGACCAAUCCCAUCAUCAUAGUAAUCAAAAAUUUAAACCAUAUAUAUAGCAUUUUAAUUUACAAAUCAUACCCAAUCAUCUGCAAUUCUUUCGCAAAACCUAUCCGAGAGUAUCUUUUCUUCCUCUCGUUUUUAUAUUUCUUUAGAUCAUUUUCCUCUUCCUUCAUUACAGCAACCUCCAGUUCCGCAAUUCUCUCCCUUUCUAACCUAUUACUCCUCUGCAACAAAAUGACACACUUCAAUAAAAUUAGAUAUGAACAGACACAAAAAAUUAAAAUUCAGCAAGUUAUUAACCUGGUCCUCUCUCCUCUUCUUAAUCCUUUGCACUCUGGACGGAACAUCUAGUUCCGACAAAUUCAGCUCUCUCGCAUUGCGGCUGAUUAUUUCCUCGUCCAAUACACCCUUCUUUUCCAAACUAUCAAGACGUACCUCUACACCAGUCCCUUUCUUGCUAAUUUCGUGUGAAGAUGCACCAUCAAUUUCAAACAUCGUGUGGGGAUGUUCUACAUCAUACCUACGCAUAGAAUUGCCCGCAUGGCCCUCAACCUCACUCCACAAAUUAGGAAUCCCAUCCACAUACAUAAUAUAUCCAUCCGCGUCAACUACGAAUGGAGUAUCCAUUUUCGGACCUCGUGAAUCGGGAUAACUCGGUAGUGUAGCAGCUAGGUAUCCAGGAUUACUUCUUCUUCUAAAAAUAUUACCCCGGCUGUCCUCACUGCAUUCUACUUGAAGUCCCCCGUGCUCUGGGUUACCAUAUAUGUUUAUUCCAGAAAGACCAGGGCAACUUGAGAAAAAAGACGGUUCCUUGGUAGAUUCGGUACCAAUUGAUUCUUCCGGACUACCGUUGCAACUAUUCAAAUCACACUAAUAUACAAACAAUUAUUCAAAAAAUUUGAUUGUCAUAACAUCUCAAUCGUCAAAAUUAGCCAUCAUACAAAUUUCGUCUAACAAACACCAUUUCGCUGUAUUCAAAUCUUUGUCUACUCCAUAUCCCACAUGACUUAAAGCUAACGCCUCAAUUGCUAACAACAUUCGCAAACCAUUAUCGUCAUCUUUACAUUUAACCUGUGCGAACCGCGGCUCAACUAUCCGUUGUCAUUCCUUUUCAUCGAAUUUAUCAAAUCGUAAUGUCAGAUACGCAUUCAUCCAACCUGCCUGCAUUCCGCAGAAAGUAUAAACUACUAUAAGCAAUGGAUAUAAAAUAACAAAGAAAAAUUAGUGAUAUUUUAUUUUAUUUCAAUAUCACUCGAAAAAAUUCUCGAUAUUGCUUGGCCUGAUUCUUCCUAGAGUUAUAGUGCGUCAUUGUACACCUAUCAAAAUUUACUGUAAGAAGAUGCCAGUGGUCACCUUGGCUUAUGGGAACAAAUAUUUUAUCAAUUUGUAAAAAAUCAUAAGAAUGACUAAUGAUGUGACAAAAUAAAAAAUAAAUAAUACACAGAUUUUAGGAUAAUUAAAAAAUAUAUAUUAAUUACCUUUAAAUAUAAUUUUAAUGUUGACAUAAAACUCCAUUUUUAACCAGCAAAUACAAUCUGUAAAAAAACAUUAUAAAAAUAAAAUACACAAUUUCAUUAAUAACUAAAAAUACAGAAAAUGAAGGACCAACAAUAAUCCGUAUGUUUUGUAAUUUUUUUGUGGAUAAAAAUGAUAGGUAUUUAACGGUUGUAAAUAUCAGAAAUUUUCAAUAAACUAAUGAUUCAAGAAAAACAUAUUGGUUCAAUUUAGGAAGAUUUGAUUUCAAAACAAAAGGUAAACGCAAGGAUCAAAUUAUUAGUAUGUAUUAAAUAUAAACAUGUGCAGGUUACUGUUAGAAAGAAAGAAAGAAAAUCCAAAUCGACGAAGCUAUAGAUCAACAUAUGAAAACACCCUAAAUAAAAUCGAUCAGCGUAUGAAACCACCAAAUCAAGGGAUUAUAGGGAAUCGAUCCAACAUGACAGACAGAAACUACAUAUUCCCAAAAAUAAUCACAAAAAAAAACUAAGAAAGAACAAACCACAACAUAUACAAUAAUCAGAAUAACUAAACAAUCGAUAGAGAAAACUAACCAUUGUAGUUCUUGGAGGACGAUGCUUGGAUGUUGUAAUCGGAAUGAUGGAUUCUGUAGGCAUGAUUUAACAGAAAAAAUCAAACUUAAAUCGGAGAAGCUUUUGAAGAAUGGAGACCGUAUUUGAACAAUGACGGCAGUUCUACGCCCACACACAUUUUAGUAUAAAACCCUAAAUACAUUAUAUUAAUGGGCCUGACUCUUGGGCCUUUUUUAGGUGACCGCUGUCCACACUCAAAUUUUUAUAAAACCUUAUAUAAAUUAUAUUAAAUCGAGUAGACAAUUGCCAACUUAGAUUUUGUUGGUACCAUGGACCGCGGACCGCGGCCCAUGGACCGAACCGGACCGGACGGCCCAUGCGGACGGACGGGCGGGCGGACGAGUGGACGAACGGGGCUGACCGUACAAGCCCACGAGGCCCAAUAACAACAAGUGAAGGCUAUAAAUACCUCGUCUGGCCCAACUGGGGAGGGGGUUGAUAAUUCUGAGAGAGGGAACACUCGAGAGUUGAGGUUGUGGGCUUACACCGGCGAGCACACACACCAACAGUGGUGAACCUGACGUGAACCGAAAUACAUGACGGCCGGAGAGAAAAGGAUGACGAAGAGCGGUUACCAGGUGGGGGAGAGCUCCAAGCGACCCGAGCGGGAGCCGGAGGAGUAUCGGCCGGAGCGACGUCACUCCCGGGACCGAUACUCAGAGGAAGUAAGAGCCAACGAGGAAUGGGACGACGAGGAUAGACUGCGUAUGGAGAUCGAGGAGAUCAGGUACGGCUGGGAGUCACCCGAGAGGCGCCGACACAAAGGGGCGGCAUCUCCACCGAGGGCCAGGAGAACGCGGUCCCGGUCGCGAUCCCGGGAGAGAAGGGAGAAGGAGCGCGAGAAGCUCCGACGAAGAGAGCGCGCGGAGGAGAAGGAUCGCGCGGAGAAAGAGAGCAAACGAGAGAGGAUGCAGCUCGUGGAGCUAAUAUCCAACCUGCAGGAGAGCCAGCGUCAACUGCAAGAGCAAGUCCAUCAGCUCACGGUGACCCCGCAUACCCUGGAGUCGGACGGGGGCGNNNNNNNNNNNNNNNNNNNNNNNNNNNNNNNNNNNNNNNNNNNNNNNNNNNNNNNNNNNNNNNNNNNNNNNNNNNNNNNNNNNNNNNNNNNNNNNNNNNNGGGAGGCCCCGCGAACAAUUGUGGCGACGACGUCGGGGGGUGGCAGUGGGGAGGCCCUGUCACAGCACCGACUGGACGAAGAGUACCCACCGGGCUGGAGAGCCCCGAAGAUCCCCUACUACAAGGGCGAUACUGACCCGGAGGACCACCUGCACUCUUUCAAGACCAACAUGGAGGACAGGACGAAUAGGAGGGACAUCUGGUGUCGAAUGUUCCGAAGGGCCCUUACGGGCGACGCAAUUGCGUGGUACAGGACGUUGCCAACAGGGUCCGUGCACACCUACGAAGGCUUGGUGGAGGUGUUCCGAGCGGCGUUCGCACACCGUCGGAGGAGGCCGAAAAUCAAGGCCGCCCUCAGCACGGUCGUACAGGGAGAAUCAGAGAGCACGCGCACGUACAUGGACCGGUUCGCAAGCGAGGUGCAGAAGAUUGAGGGGAUCUCGGAGGAGGUGGCGCUGUACGCCCUGACGAACAGCCUCCGGCCCACGUUCUUCGCGGGAGACCUAGUGAGGAAGCCACCAAAAACCUUUGCCGAGGCCAUGGAGAGGUCCCACGGAGAGAGCAACGUGGAGGAUUACCUGGGCGCGAAGAUCCAGGAAUGCAGGCGGCAGCAGAGGGGGAAGGGCGCCCCCGUGGGCGCUGGGGGUGGGCAGCAGCAGAGCCAACCCCAACAAACGCAGGCCAAGCCCCCAACGGCGCCGCAGGCGCCAGUGUACAGAACCGGCACCCCGGCAGCAGCGGGACGGAAGGAGGCAGGCCCCGCCCCGGCGGCAAACCAGAGACAGGUUUUCCUGACGUUAUACGGAACAGGAACCCUACCCCUGCCGAGGCCAAUGAGGAAAGACACGGCGGCGUUCAGGGACACCCGUCGGUUUUGCGAAUACCAUGAGGACAAUGGCCACACAACGGCCGAAUGCUUGAACCUCGCGAAGGUCCUCAGUAAAAUGAAGCCCGCGAACGGAGCCCCCCAGGCCCCGACGGCAAACCGCCCGGCGACGAUCCCCACGGGACACCAAGCGCCGAAGCAGGAACCAGCGGACGAGACUAUAGGGGACAUCCUCACCAUCGCCGGCGGCGGCGCCUCGAGAGGUGAUGACCCGUGGGAGGGCCGGCGGUACGCGUCUGACGUGGAUCGGGCAGCAGGGGCCAAGCGUCCGCGAAUAAACCUGGACAUCUCGUUCACGGAGGACGACAUGAAGGACAUUACCACGCCCCACGACGACCCCCUGGUCAUAACCCCCAUCUUCCAAAGGGGAGACAAGUCCAGCGUGCGAUUACACAGGGUGCUGGUCGACACGGGAGCGUCGGUGGACAUAUUGUACUGGAACGCCUUCGUCGACCUCGGUUUGGCCCGAGCAGACCUACUCCCGUGCCGGGCCCCCAUCAGGGGAUUCGGUCAGUCGGAGGUCCCGGUGGCGGGAACAUUCACCCUCCCAGUCACCCUGGGUCGGCACGCCCAGGCCAAGACAGUAGAGGUUGUAUUCACGGUCGUCAACUUCACAUCAGGAUACAACGCCAUCUUGGGAAGGACAGCGUUGCACGCCUUCCAGGCGGUAAUGUCAUCACUCCACCAGUGCCUCAAGUUCCCAACCGAGGCAGGAGUGUGCACAGUCCGAGGCUCCCAGAAAAAGGCGCGCGAGUGCUACUUCAAUUCGGUCGGUGAAGUAAUGACGUCGAACGAGGGCCUACCCCACUCGAUGCGGGAACGCACAGCAAGGCCCGAAUCGGCGUCUCACACGAUUCAAGCGCCCCUCGGGCGGGGCGAAGUGCGAAUGGGAAAGGACCUCCCACAGAACAUCAGGGAAGGUCUAGAACAACUCCUGAGGAAGAACGAAGACCUGUUCGCCGGCGAGUUGGGGGAGUUGGACGGCGUGCCAAGGGCGCUGGCGGAGCACAGACUAGCAGUAGCCCCGGACGCCCACCCCGUCAGGCAGAAAUUACGCCCGCUAAGGGCGGAAAAGAGGGAGGCGGCCGAGACGGAAGUCAGGAAGCUCCUCCAAGCGGGGUUCAUUCGUCCGGUGCGCUACCCCGCCUGGUUGUCCAACGUGGUGAUGGUAAGAAAGGCAGAUUCGGGGUGGAGGAUGUGCGUUGACUUCACCAACUUGAACAAAACUUGCCCCAAGGACAGCUACCCACUGCCGUCGGUGGACCUGCUGGUAGACCAGAGUUCCGGGUGCGGGAUGCUGAGUUUCACGGACGCGCACUCGGGAUACAACCAGGUGCCCAUGGCACGAGAGGACGAGGAGAAGACGUCGUUCAUCACAGAAAUGGGCAUGUUUUGCUUCAGGGUAAUGCCGUUCGGCCUGCGCAACGCCGGGGCAACAUUCCAGAGGCUAAUGGAUAAAAUAUUCAAGGCACAGAUAGGAAGGAACGUAGAAGUGUACGUGGACGAUAUACUUGUCCGAUCAAAGGAGGCCGAAACGCAUUUGGCCGACCUAGAAGAAACCUUCGCCAACAUCCGUAGCGCAGGACUCAAGCUAAAAGCGAAAAAGUGCGCGUUCGGAGUCAAGGAGGGGCAUUUCCUCGGUUUCCGAAUCACGCCCGAAGGAAUCAAGCCAAGGGAAGAGAAAGUGGAGGCCGUAACGGCCAUGAACCCCCCGCGGACGCUGAAGGAGGUCCAGAAGUUAAACGGGAGGGUGGCGGCGCUGAGCAGAUUUCUGCCAAGGACGGCAGAUCGUUUGAAGCCUUUCUUCCAGUUGUUAAGGAACCCGGGACCCAGGGUGGUAUGGUCAGACGAGUGCGAGAGGGCGUUCAAGGAACUCAAGCGCCAGCUUUCGAGCCUGCCGACGCUCCGCCCACCAACAAGAGGAGAGCCACUCACCAUGUACGUAGCAUGCUCGGAGGCGGCCGUCAGCGCGGUCCUCAUCUCGGAAGCGGGAGGCACGCAGAGGCCAGUGUACUACCACUCCCGUUCGUUGAUAGGGGCGGAAGAGAGGUACCCGGAAAUCGAGAAGCUAGCCCUGGCGGUAGUCUCGGCGGUCCGAAGGCUGAAACCGUACUUUCACGCUCACACGGUUACGAUCCCAACGGCUUACCCACUACUGCAACUCCUGCAGAAGCCGGACGUCUCAGGAAGACUAACCAAGUGGGCCAUGGAACUCAGCGAAUUUCACCUAGUAAUCGUGCCAGCAAGGGCAAUCAAGGGGCAGGCGGUGGCAGACUUCAUGGCCGAGUUAGCCCCGAGAGAAGUGGUGGAGGCAGACGAGCAGUGGUGGACGGCCCACGUGGACGGGUCGGCCAGCAAUAGCGGAUGCGGAGCGGGGGUCGUGGUCACAUCCCCGACAGGGGAAAAAAUCGAGUACUCGAUCCACUUCGAAUUCCGGGCGACUAACAAUGCAGCAGAAUACGAAGCCCUCCUUUCGGGGAUCCGGUUAACUCGCGCACUAGGCGCGUCCAAGGUGCACUUUCACACGGACUCCCGGCUCGUAGCCAACCAAGUCAGGGGAGACUUCGUAUCCAAGGAAGACUCUAUGGCGACCUAUGUGACCGAGACAAGAAUGGCCUUGGGCAAGCUCAAAGAAUGGAGGAUCUCUCAAAUAGGGAGAGAACACAAUGGGGAGGCCGACACAUUGGCCAAACUAGGGGCGUCCCCGGGAAAAAAGGAGGGAAGGUGGAUCCGGAUCGAAAACCAAGAACGUCCGACGCCGACCGCCGAUCGCGGGCCAGCCAGAGCGUGCGGAGUAAUAACGUCGAGGGACUGGAGAACGCCGAUCACGAGGUUCAUCUUGACAGGCGAAACGCCGACAGACCCGAUAGAGGCCAGAAAGCUAAGGAACAGGGCGGCCUGGUUUGUAGUGGCCCAGGACAAACUAUACCGACGGUCGGCAGCAGAGGAGGUCCCCCUGCGACUAUGCGUCCCACGUGAGGAGGGGAGGGCCAUCGCACGAAGCCUGCACGAGGGGGCAAGCGGAGCGCACCAGGGCGGCAGAGCGCUGGAGAAGCAAGUAGUCAGGCAAGGGUAUUACUGGCCCGAGUCAAUAAAAGACUCAGAGGAGAUUGUUGGUCGAUGCGACGUUUGCCAGAGGCAUUCGAAUGUCCAGAGACGGCCGUCCACCAUGAUGAAGGCCGUAACGACACCGGUGCCAUUCGCAAGGUGGGGAAUUGACAUAGUAGGACCGUUCCCGCCGGCGUCAAGAGGGAGGAAGUUUCUGUUCGUAGCGGUCGACUACUUCACAAAGUGGGCCGAAGCGGAGGCUACAAACACGAUCAGCGAACAGAAUGUACUGAACUUCGUCUUCAGGAACAUCGUCUGCCGUUUUGGGGUCCCGAUCCAGAUAAUAACGGACAACGGGACGCAGUUCACGGGAAAGAAGUUAAGAGAAUUCUGCGAAGACAACGGGAUCAAGUUAAGCUUCGCACCAGUCUACCACCCGCAGGCAAACGGGCAGGUAGAAGUGACGAACCGAACAAUAACGUCGAUCCUGAAAAGGAAGGUGGGCGAACACCCGGGAAACUGGGCGGACCUAGUCCCAGAAACCAUGUGGGCGUAUCGCACGACCAUCCGAACGCCCACAGGUCAAACACCCUUCGCCCUCGCAUUCGGGAUGGAGGCGGUGGCUCCAGCAGAGUUNNNNNNNNNNNNNNNNNNNNNNNNNNNNNNNNNNNNNNNNNNNNNNNNNNNNNNNNNNNNNNNNNNNNNNNNNNNNNNNNNNNNNNNNNNNNNNNNNNNNGUCCAUCAGGGAUCUCACUUACAAGCGAAGGGUGGCAAGGUACCACAACGAAAGAGUAGCCGACAAAAACUUAGCGCCAGGAGACUUGGUGUUGAGAAACGCCAAGGUAACGGGAGUCGAUCAGACGAAGGGGAAACUGUCACCAAAGUGGGAGGGCCCGUACGUCAUCACGGACGAAAUCCAGCCCGGCAUCUUUCGCCUGGGAUACGAGGACGGGCAGGAGAUAGAGAGAACGUGGCAUGCCGACAAUCUAGAAAAGUACAGGCGGUAAAGUGAGACGCACGCGAAACAAUAUUAUCACUAUUGUAUCUGAUUUUUACGUCGGGCGUCCCCUGACCACGGCACAUGAUGCCCAAUAAGAAGCACCCCGGAGUGCACCCAUUAAAAAGAUUAUUGUAAAGGAAAAGGGGCAGCCCGCCGAAAAGGCCGGCGGAGAAGUCUUGAGGUCGGACGACCACAUGAGACAAUCCGCACGGCCCAGGCCGCUCCCCCGAGUAAGCAAAAGCUGGAGAAGCCCGCCGAAAAGGUUGGCGGAGAAGUCUCAAGGUCGGACGACCACGCGAGACAAUCCGCACAGCCCAGGCCGCUUCCCCGAGCAAACGAAAACCGGAGAAGCCCGCCGAAAAGGCCAACGGAAGGUCCCCGGGNNNNNNNNNNNNNNNNNNNNNNNNNNNNNNNNNNNNNNNNNNNNNNNNNNNNNNNNNNNNNNNNNNNNNNNNNNNNNNNNNNNNNNNNNNNNNNNNNNNNNNNNNNNNNNNNNNNNNNNNNNNNNNNNNNNNNNNNNNNNNNNNNNNNNNNNNNNNNNNNNNNNNNNNNNNNNNNNNNNNNNNNNNNNNNNNNNNNNNNNNNNNNNNNNNNNNNNNNNNNNNNNNNNNNNNNNNNNNNNNNNNNNNNNNNNNNNNNNNNNNNNNNNNNNNNNNNNNNNNNNNNNNNNNNNNNNNNNNNNNNNNNNNNNNNNNNNNNNNNNNNNNNNNNNNNNNNNNNNNNNNNNNNNNNNNNNNNNNNNNNNNNNNNNNAAAGAGGCGAGUAAACAAGCGAGCACAUCUCGCGCCCGUGCACGUAACCCUUCCAGAAGCCGAGGCGCUUGGAAUCGGCUAGCAGGGUGGCGUGAUCCUUUUCCAUAUCGGCCAAACGACUCUUGAACUCGGGAACAAAUUCCUCGAUAAAAGCGGCCUGCGCGGCAUCUGCCCGAGCCUUCUCUUCCUCCGCAGCACGGCACAAGUCGGCGGCCAGGAUGUCGCGCUCACGCUUGACGGCGUCCAACUCGGUCUUUGUGGCAUCAAUGGUGGCCCUCGCAGCGGCAAGGUCGGCUUCCGCGGCAGCGAGGUCGGUCUUUUGACGCUGAAACUCCCCGUCCAGUUCGGCGCCCCGUUCCAGCCGAACCUGGGAGAGGACCGAAAGUUGCAGCAGAUGAUGGUGCAGAUCGAGGUCGACGGCCGAAAGGGGACAGGCGCGCAGUCGGACGUACUCAUCUUCGGGCGUCAUCAGGGAGCGAGCAUCCGCAAGCUUUUGUUUAAGGAUCCCACCAAGGCGCGGCAAAAGGGUCACGGAAUCGACGGGGGCGGUACAGCCGUCGAGCGUCCUCUGAAGAUCCUUCAUGACAGCCUUGAGGGGCUCGUCUCCAAAAAGCCCGCUUUCCGACGCGGGCGCAAAGAGGUGGUCAAAGGCCCUGUCGGACGGAAUGCCAGAGUGGCUGGAACCAAGGCUGUUCUCAGAAGCGUCCAAGUCUUCAACUUGGACCGCAUCCUUCGCCAGGGAGGCGGCGACCGACUUUCGUUUCAAGGCCCGAGCUUUCUUCCUUUGCCGUCGGUCGGACCGGCUGUCUCGAAGGAGGGAGUCCGGGGCACCAGGAGCGGAGGAAGCAUCACGCUGGGAGUCCGGGGCACCGACAUCGAGGGUGUUGAGGGGAGACGCAUUAAGGGGAGUCUCGAAGUGAACUUCGUCGGCUUGCCUUUUCUUGUUACGUUUAGGCGGCGGGCCGUCCCGAAAGUAAGGCGUCUUCACGGGCAAAUUCAGGUGGUCGUCGUAGGACCAGGUGGCCAACGUCCGGGCGUUGACGGGCCCGUGGCGAUAAACCUCGACGAGAACGUCUUGAGCAAGGGCGGCCAUGGGAUCCAAGCUGUCUCGGGAAGGAACGGCGGCCCGCUUCAGGGACGACAACAUAGUCCAGCGCGUGGGGAUAUGCACGCCCGAGUGCGACGUUCCAAGAGCACUGACGGGGACGAAGAAGAAGCGGUCCCGCCAGUGAUGAGACCGGUCGACCAGCCCGUCGAAGAGGGCGCCGGUGGAUCGCUGAGCGACUAACACACGGCGGGGAUCGGUGGUCAUGGAGGUCAUCGUGAACCACGUCAGGAAGACCGGUAGAGAGACCUGGCAACCGGCGCGACGCAAGAGAAGGUCGAAGAUCACCAGGCGGUCGAUGGCCGCCGGAGGAAACUGAGAAAUAGUCACGCCGCAGUAAGACAUCGCUUCGGUCACCAAAGACGGAAGCGGAAGAACAAGACCGGCAUCGACAAAGGGCGUGUAAAGAGCGACCAGGCCCGGCGGCGGAUCCGAGGCAAGACGCUCGCCAGCAACAGUGAAGGGCAGGUCGGGCUGGCCCAUCUUCGCCAGCGCCUCCCGGAUCACAUCGACCCCGACGGUGGACAGAGGGUCCUUGGGGGAGGGAGCGACGAAGAGCGUCGAAAUCACUUUGCUAGCCGGGGUUCGUGCGCCAUCGCGGCCGGAGGAGGAAGCGGAGGCCAUUAGCAACCUGGGAGAGAAGGUAGGAGAGAAUAAAGGAAAGGGAAGAAAGUCAGUCGCGAGAAGCGAAUGAGGAUUUAUAUAGGGGUUAAGGAGGGCACGGAAGACGAAGCGUCGCGUACCCGGAUUGGUCAGAAUCGGAUGGGCCGGGAGGCUCCCGAGGGAGCCCAAGAACCGGCCCGUCGGGGGCAAGGGUGAAGAUCAGGGACCGACGCGGUCGGCGGAGCGGGGGAGAGGCGCCCGUGGUAGGCUCGGCGGGGUCCAGCGACCGAACGAUGCAGGAGGAGCGCGGUGGGGGAGUCCAGAUGGGCCGACGGGCAGACCCCACCAGCGAAACGACGUAGCAGGGCGACGCUUGAGCCGGCNNNNNNNNNNNNNNNNNNNNNNNNNNNNNNNNNNNNNNNNNNNNNNNNNNNNNNNNNNNNNNNNNNNNNNNNNNNNNNNNNNNNNNNNNNNNNNNNNNNNGACGGGAGCAGAGCUCGAGAAGGAUGCGGGCAACGUCGACAGAAGACGCCGAGAUGCGCGAAUCUGCACGGACGUGCGAAGACAAUUAAAGCGAAAGGAAAAAAAGAGGCAAAGGCAUUUUUCAUUAAAGUAAACCAAGUGUUACAAGCGGCCGGUGGCACGGCGGGAAAAAGUACACAACGCACAACAAAAGCUAAGUCUGGAUACAAAAAAGAAAUAGGAANNNNNNNNNNNNNNNNNNNNNNNNNNNNNNNNNNNNNNNNNNNNNNNNNNNNNNNNNNNNNNNNNNNNNNNNNNNNNNNNNNNNNNNNNNNNNNNNNNNNNNNNNNNNNNNNNNNNNNNNNNNNNNNNNNNNNNNNNNNNNNNNNNNNNNNNNNNNNNNNNNNNNNNNNNNNNNNNNNNNNNNNNNNNNNNNNNNNNNNNNNNGGAAGGGGCGUUGGAUCAGCGGCAGCAGCGGGAGCGACGGUCGUACCUUGCGCGCGGGAAGCACGCGAAGUUCCAGCAGAACCCGACGUGUCAGGAUAGGUGACGAGGGGAAGCUCCGCGACAAUGUCGUUGCAGCGAAUCCGGUUGAGGCGACGGUGGACGUCGAUCAACACGGCGUUAAGGCGCUGAGUCUCGGCCACGGCGACACUGUUGGGGACACCAGUAGGCGACAGCAGGCACAGGGCCCAGGUAGCAUGUUGAGCUUGCACUUCGCGGCCAUACUCCUCAAGGAUGUCUCGAGCACUCAUAGCGGAAAAGAGAGGGGAUGCGGAAAAUAAGGCUCUCAAGCAGCCUAUUUAUAGAGAAGCAAAGAAGGAAGGGCCCGAGAACCGAGGAGCUUUAAUGAGAGUAGGUGGGGGUUGAAAGGGGGGUGGACGGCCCCAGGCCCCCGGGCCUGCUAAGGAAGGGGGGAGUACUGUUGGUACCAUGGNNNNNNNNNNNNNNNNNNNNNNNNNNNNNNNNNNNNNNNNNNNNNNNNNNNNNNNNNNNNNNNNNNNNNNNNNNNNNNNNNNNNNNNNNNNNNNNNNNNNCGAGGCCCAAUGACAACAAGUGAAGGCUAUAAAUACCUCCCCUGGUCCAACUGGGGAAGGGGUUGACAAUUCUGAGAGAGUGAACACUUGGGAGAGUUGAGGUUGUGGGCUUACACCGGCGAGCACAUACACCAACAAUUUGGUUAUACGUUUAUGUUUUUUUUAUUUCUCUUUAGUGUUUAGGAUUAUUGUAAUGAGUUUGAUUCAUGAUUGUGUUAAUUUGAUAACUCUAAAUGUUUGUUUACCCUAAAUAGUGUUUACUUUGUAAAUGAGUUAAUUUAGUUUAUAGUUAUUUAGUAAAUCUUGAUUGUAUUAUGUUAGUUUUUCCGCAGCCUCCGAUAGCCGUGCUCGCCUCCGAUUGCCUUACUCGCAUUGGUUGUUAGUUUUGGUAAGAUUUUAGAAAUCGUUUAUUAUGAUAAUUUUUUUUAGAAAUUGUUUUUUAUGAAUUAUGAAUAAAUUAAUUAAAUUUAUAUUUAAUUUACUAUUUUUAUGAAUAAAUUAAAUUAAAAUUACUAUUAUUAUGUUUUUUAAUUAAAUAAAUGUUUAUUUAUUUAAUUAAUUAAAUAUAAAAAAAUUAUUUAUUUAAUUAAUUAAAUAAAUUACUGUUUUUAAUUAAUUAAAUAAAUAAUAAUUUUUUUAAAUAAAUAAAUAGUUUACUGUUCUUAAAUAAUUUUAAAAUUAAUGAAAUUCUUUAUUUUAUUUACUGUUUUUAAUUAAAUAAUUAAUAUUUUUUUAAAUAAAUAAAUAAUUUAUUGUUUUUAAAUAAUUUAAAAAUUAAUUAUUUUGUUUUAUACUUGUACGUUGUAGGUUCUGAAAACCGAUAUUUCGUAAAACUCGGAUUUUGAAGCUAUAUUGCGGUAAAAAAUUAAAUUAAAUAAUUAAAUUAACUAAUUUUUAAAUUAUUAAAUUUAUUGUAAAAUGAAAUGAUUAAAUUAUCAAUUGAAAUAACAAUUAGUAUAUUAUUAAUUGAUUAAAAAUUAUUAAAUUAUUAUUAUUUUGCAUGAAAUUAAUUUGUGAAUAAUGAAAUAUUUGCAUGAAAUAAUAUUUGAUCAUUUUAAUUUGAAAUUAUUUAAUUAAUUAUAAAUUUGUUAAAUGAUUAGUAAUUAUUAAAUUGAAAUAAUAGUGAUUAAUUUGCAUGAAAUUAAAAAUGUGUUAAUUAAUUAUUUAUAAUUAUUUAAUUGAAAUAAUAAUAAUUAAUUUGCAUGAAAUGAAAAAUGUGUUAAUUAAUUAUUUAUAAUUAUUAAAUUCAUGAUUAUUAAAUUAUUUGUUUAAUAAUUAUUAAUUAAUUAAAUAAUUUUUUUUUAGAUUUAAAAAAAUGCCACGGAGAGUGAAGCAAUUAUCUCGUAAGAGGGCUCUACCACCCAAUCCCCAAGAUGCUUUCCGGUUUUAUUUCCCAGUUCAUCCUACACUAGCACCAGUACGUCCAGCACCGGCACCUGUUCGUCCAACAUCGGCCCCUCCCGCACCGCCGGUACCUGUUCGUCCAGCACUGACCCCUCCAGUUCCGCAACCAGCAACUACGAAAAAAGUCGUUUACGAAACAGAUUCGGAAUAGUUAAUUAGACAUUUAAAUAACUUGAUUUUCCCAACUUAAUAUUAAUUGAACUAUAAUUAAUAUUGUAAUAGUCAAUUAAGUUUUAUCUAAUUAAUUAUAAUUCGCUAAAAAUCUAAUUUUUUAGGAUAAUGUCGAACCUCAUGAAAGUACCCGAUAAAGCUUGGAUGAGUUUAGAUCGGUUUUCGAAAGAAUACGGUGAAGGGUUAACAACUUUCACUAAUUUCACCCUUUCGAAUUCGACUCACCCAGAAGGUUAUUUACCUGGUCCACGCUCGUCCUGCACGAAUAGUGAAGUGAUUUCUAUAAAGGAGAUGAGGAAGCAUGUUUUCAUAAAUGGUUGGUUGAAACAUUACGACGUUUGGACGUGUCACGGAGAGUUACCGAGUAGAUAUGGUGAGAAAAAAGUGAAACGAAAAGAGACAGUGCCGGAAACUGGUAACGAUAUGAUUGAAUUGGUUCGUGUGGUUUACGGAGAACAUGUAGUCGAGAAUACAGUCGACGAAGAAUUUCUCGAAACAGAACCUCUAGAAUAUGAGCCUGUCCAUGAAGAUUCAGUCGAUGUAGGUCCAGUCGACGAAGAUCAAGUCGACGAAGAUCCAGAGCACAGAUAUGACGAUUCGUUCUUACGCCGUCUAAAAGAAGGUGAAAAACAGUUAUAUCCAGGUUGCACAGAGUUUUCCAAACUAUCUUUUAUCUUGGAAUUGUAUCAGUUGAAAUGCGACAAUCAUUGAAGUGAUAAAAGUUUUCAGAAAUUAUUAUCCAUCAUGCGUCGUGUUAUUCCAAAUGGGGGAGUCGACCAUUCCGAAAACCAUGUUUCAUGCGAAAUCGGUGGUUCGUGACCUAGGCCUCAAUUAUACGAAAAUCGAUGCAUGUCGCAACGAUUGUAUUUUAUAUCGAAAUGAGUAUGCAGACGCAAAAACUUACCCUAAUUGCGGAACGUGUAGGUGGGUCGUCGAAGGCGUUCAGAAAAACAAAUGUGUUCCAGCGAAAUGUCUUCGUCACUUUCCGUUGAUUCCACGUUUGUAGAGUUUGUAUCUGUGUUCCAAAAUUUCUGAAGACAUGAUAUGGCACCAUUCCAAACGUAAAGACGACGGAUUUCUUCGACAUCCAGCUGAUUCUUUACAAUGGAAGAAAUUUGACGAGGUUCAUCCCAAAUUUGCAUCCGAACCUCGUAAUGUAUGAGACUUGGUUUAGCAACUAAUGGAUUCAACCCGUUCAGUCAGCAAUCUCUAUCUCAUAGUACUUGGCCAGUGACAGUUAUACCGUACAACCUUCUACUUUGGAUGUGUAUGAAGCAACCGAAUUUCAUGUUGUCUCUACUAAUUUCCGGUCCGUCAGCUCUAGGGAACGAUAUAGAUGUCUAUCUUCAACCGCUUAUUGAUGAACUGAAGAUUUUAUGGGCAGAUGGUGUUACAGCUUUUGAUGUGAGUACGCAGAAAUCUUUUAAGAUGUUUGCAUCAUUUCUGUGGACGAUACAUAAUUAUCCAGGAUAUGGUGAUAUAUCAGGGUGGAGCACUAAAGGAAAGUUAGCAUGUACAGUAUGUAAGAAUGACACUGAAAGUAUUCGUUUAGAGCAUGGAAAGAAAGAGAGUUUUAUGAGACAUCGUCGAUUUCUAGAUAUGAAAUAUUAUUACAGAAGCGAUAAGAAAAGUUUCAAUAAUCAGAUCGAAACUAGAGUCGCCCCUAAACGUCUGACGGGUUCUAAAAUAUAUAGUCAAGUUUAUCCAUUUCGAGAUUCAGUAACUUUUGGUAAAAUAUCGAAUGUACCAAAAGAUUGUAGACCGUCGACGAAAAGAACGAAAAAAAUACCAUUGUCCAAAGGAUGGAAAAAAACGAGUAUUUUUUUCGAAUUACCGUAUUAGAAGACGUUGCUUCUACGACAUAAUAUUGAUGUUAUGCACACCGAAAAGAAUGUAUGUGAUAAUAUAUUGAACACUAUUUUGGAAAUGGAUGGUAAAACGAUAGAUAAUUUGAACGCGAGGUUCGAUUUACAAUCGAUGGGAAUCCGAAAAGAACUUCAUCCUAUUCAACGUGGAGAAAAAUGAGACAUUCCGAGUGCGUGUUUCAACUUAACGAUGAAAGAAAAGAUAUUAUUUCUGUCAGUGUUUAAAUCCCUUUGACUUUCCGAUGGAUAUUGUUCUAACAUUUCUAAAAACGUAAAAAUGAAAGAAAGAAAAGUUAUCGGAUUGAAAAGUCACGAUUAUCACGUUAUAAUGCAACAGUUACUUCCUAUUGCAUUACGAAAAUCGACAAAACCUGUAGUGACUUCGAUUCUCGUUGAACUUUGCGGAUAUUUCCACGAUAUUUGUUCGAAGGUGAUCGAAAUCAAACUUAUAGAAUGAUGGGAGAAAAGAAUUAUAUAUACAUUAUACAAUCUUGAAAAAAUCUUUCCUCUCGGUUUUUUUACUUUAAUGGUUCAUCUGACGGUCAAUCUAGCAACCGAAGUAAAAAUAGCUGGACCGGUACAGUAUUGAUAGUCCUGCUGAUGCGUCGCCGGAGAAGAGAGCUCGACUCGACCUUCUACAUAGCCCAUCAGUCCGAACCCAUGGAGCAUCGCCGAAAAUUGGGCUUCCCAUGAGUUAUAGUUGCUCCUGUCAAGUUGAACGCACUUGACAUGUUUGGUGAUUAUCUUCGGCUGUGUAGGAUCGGUCAUCGUCAGAGGUAGGUUUGCGGAAGCAACUUGAUUUUCAUCUGAUACCAUAACAGAAUCGAGUCUUUCUGUAAUUGAUUUUACAGAAGAUCGAUCAAGAGAUUCUUGAGUUCAAGAAUCAGAUUGAGAAGAAUGAAUUUGAUUGAUUUCUUAAUUGUUCAUGCAUCAUUGGUUUUUAUACUUGAUAUUCUAACUAUUUCUAAAACAACUUUACUAACAGAAUACAUAAAAUAGUCUGAUUCUCUAACAGACUAUAAAAUAAAUUACAAGAAAAAUUAAAUAAAAACCUAAAUAAAUAAAAAAAUAUAUAGAUAGAUAUUUUAUAGAUUUUAAUUUUUUUUUUAACCGAGCCAUAUUAUGUUGAUCAUCAUUAUUCAUCAAUAACCUUAAUAGUUACUCUCACUAGUUCGAGACAUGAUACAAAGUUGCAAACUAUCCAAAUGAUGAUAAAUAUUUCAUAAAUAAGGUAAAAUCAAAGAAUGAGUUGCAAAGAACUCACAUCCUUACUAGGAAAAUAAAGAGAUUUUCAAGCCAAAAUCAUUCUAACUAGCCUUAAAUAUUGGUAGGAAAUACUGGUAUCAAUAUUAAUGGAUGUUUCCUGCUCAAAAUCCCCUUAACACAUUCAGUCAUAUCAAGUUCUUUUCCAGGGACGUCGUUGGGCAACUUCCAAUUGAAAUGAUAAAGAAUGGUUGCAAGAACAAGCUCUACAUUAGCAAGACCAAAUGUUAUACCAGGACAAAUUCUUUUGCCAGCACCAAAUGGAAGUAAAUCAAAGUGUGAUCCUUUGAGAUCUAUUGAAUUUCCAAUGAAUCUCUCUGGUUUGAAUACUUCUGGAUUUUCCCAUUUCUUUGGAUCGCGUCCUAUAGCCCAUGCAUUCACAAGGACGUUUGUUUUUUCAUCUAUAUCGUAAUUGUUUAUCUGGCAUUUCUCUUGACUUUGACGAGGAGAAAUAAGUGGCAAAGGUGGAUGGAGUCUGAAGGUUUCUUUAAUGACAUUCUGCAUGUAGCUCAUCUUGUUGCUAAAAGAAUUAUCAUAGUUGUCAGCUUCUGUACUGGUUAUCGAAAACAAUUGUCUAACCUCAGAUGUCACUUUCUUCAUGGUUUCUGGAUUUUUUACCAACUCAGACAUUGCCCAUUCUAAUGCUGAAGAAGCCGUCUCCGUUCCUCCAAUAAACAUGUCCUAAAAAUACCAAUUGCAAUAUAUAUGAAUAUGAUCUUGAAUCUCAUAAUAUGAAAAAAUGCAUUAUAAUUAAACUUACCAACAUCACCGCUUUCAAAUUACUCAUAGUAAAUUCAAACCCAAAUUCAUUCUUCUUUUGAAUUUUGAGAAGAAUAUCAAGAAAGUCUUCAUCGCCAUCUCCCACAUUUUUUUUGUUAUUGUUUGAUUUCUCAAAAUGUUCGUCUAUGACUGUGUUUAGCAUAUGAUCAUUUGUUCUAUACGUCUUUUCAGCCUUCUUCCUCAAACCAGUCAACCAAACGAUGAAGUUCUCCAAAGCAGGAAAGUAAUUAGAAAUAUUGAAACCAAUUAUAAGAUCAACUGUUUCCUUCAUUGAAACCAGAAAUGCCUCCUUUUGUCUAAGGUUAUUGCCAAACCCAGCACGGCUGGCGACGUUGUUGUUAAGAGAAAGAAAUAUUUCACUUAGAUUAACUGGAGUACCGUUGGUUGCAGCUUUUGUAAGAACGUCCACCAUUUCGCAUACUUCUUCUCUUCUCAAUCUGUUAAAAGACUUCACCUUUUUAGCACUGAGAAGCUCAAGAGUGACGAUCUUUCUCAUCUGUCUCCAGUAUUCUCCAUAAGGUGCUAGAAAAAUAUUGGUAUUGUUAUACAUAACAAUUCUAGACGUGAAUAUAUCUGGUCGAGAUGCAAAGUUUGCAUCAUGAGUCUUAAGAACCUCUUUUGCAGCAUCAGAUGAAGAGACGAUAAUAUGUGGAAUCUGACCCAAUUUUAAGUGCAUAAACGGACCAUGCUUCUUGGCUAGAUCUCGAAAGACUCGAGGAAUGUGGUCGUCGCCUGAAAGAAGUAUGUUGUGAAGAUUGCCAAUGAUGGGAAGCUUGGUUGGUCCUGGUGGUAAUCUCUUGUAGUUUUUUGUCUUCACUAGAAUGAACAUCACCAAAGAUAGGAAUGAAGUAAAGAAUAUUAAAGGCCAUGAUGGGAAUUGAAUGCCCAUUGUAGCUUUAAUUCCAAAUUAAUUGUUAAAUUGGAAUUGAAUUAUUUGUGUCUAUGAAUCUCACUUGCUAUUUAUAUAAGAACUGUCACCUUAAUUUUCAACACCCAAUUUUCAAUUCCCAAUUCCAUAAUUCUGAUCAAUUCCCAAUAUAAUUCUCAAUUCCCAAUUACCAAUUCCCAAUUAAUCAAGUGUGGUCAACAUACACUUUUCUAUCAACAUCAAUUCCCAAUUCCCUACACUUAGCAUGUUAUUCAAAUAAAUAUUGUUAGGGUUUGUUAAUUUAAUGUUGUUAAUCAAUAUUAUAUUAAUUUUAUAGAAUAGUUUUCAGGUGAGUCACUCUUAAGUGAUGUAACAUCUCGUAAAUUUAUAGAUUAUUAUUGUAAUUUUUCCCUCUAGUUUAUUAUUUUAAACAAUUAGUUGAAAGGUAUUAUAGAUAGUUUAUAAGCUAGGUUCAAAAACAUAAUUUUUAUAAAACAUAAGACGCAGAAACGAUAAAUUAAUCCUGCAAGUAAAUAAAAAUGGGUAUAAGUUUUGCAUUCAAAACUCGGAUGUCUUUAACCUAACAAAUUAAAUAUUUCAUUAUUAUUUUUAAACUCUUGUCUCUUUUUUACUAUAUAUAUUCAGUUGAACUCGUCCAUCCAGACGCAUAGGGUUCUAAACCCCCUCUUGGGAAUGACUUUCACCAUUCCCCAUACUCGAUCAUGUGCGGAACACAAUCUCGACCAGACUCGAAUCAUCUCGGAGGUGUGAUCCAACCAAACUGCCCCGUCGGGUCAUUCGCCUCGCCAGGCUUAGACUCGAGUUUCCCCCAUGGAUUCGCCCAUUCCAACUGCUUGAAGGGCAUUCCUAAUUAUCUAUAUUUAUAAUUAAGUUGAGGUCCCCCAUGGGUUCACCCGACCAGAUUCUCUCGUCGGGGCACAUUCAUUCAAACUCCCAUAGGGCACAAUUAUUUAGAUUCCCCAAAGGGACAAUAACACAGACUCCCCGAAGGGCACAAUAACUAAUCGGACUUCCCAAAGGGCACAAUAACUAAUCGGACUUCCCAAAGGGCACAAUAACUAAUCGGACUUCCCAAAGGGCAUAAUAGCAUAGACUCUCCAAAAGGUACAUUUAUUCUAACGUAUUUUUUCAGUUCGAUUCCUUGCCUUUUGUCAAACUUUUCGGUCUAUGACUACCUAAUGGGAUCACUUAAACCUACAUCCACAGUUAGGAUUUAAAAAAUUUGAGUCAGACGUGGUAUGUCCACUUGAUCUCUCUUAACCCGUGUGCAUUUGGAUUCGACCCAAUAGAGAUUGAGUCUAAAUCCCAAACGUGAACCAAGGUCUAUGCUAGACCCUAAUAUGAGCAGAAGGUCUCCCUGAGGACUCUUGAGCUCAACAUAAAUCCUUUCCCGACCUCACCUGUACACCCAAGACAUUCUCGAUCUGCCUCUAGCUGGCUCCCAGCUUUCUCGAUCAAUCACCCUUACCAGGUGCACUUGAGUUCAAAGUAGACCAUAAGGUGAACUAAAGGUCUCCCUAGGGACUCUUUAAUUUAUCUUAGGUGUCACCCCUAACCCAUGGUUGGUCCAAUUAACAAGGUUUAUCUAAACCUUUGGUCAAACCGUCACCAAAUCAAUUUGAUGUAAUUCUUUUUAAUUACAUCUAUUACAUUUUCACCCUUGUUUCUUUUUAAUUAAAUUUGCAAGUAUUACCAUAGUAGUCCAACUUUAAUUGAGUUACUCAAAUAUUAAAUGAAAGCAUAUAACUAGCUAUAACAUAUAACAAACUUUCCAUUUAAAUCUACUCUAAAAUCAAUACAAUUAUAUUUACCAUAGUGAUUCACUGGCCUUAAUUGAUUUACACAUUAAAUGUCAAAAUGGAAACACAUAAUAAACUUUUCAUUUAAAUCAAUUAUAGAAUGAAUACAAUUAUUAUUAUAGUAAUUCAUCUUAAAUGAGUUGUACAAAACCAAAAAAAGAAAAGAAAACAUAUAAAGUAAGUUUCAACAACCUUAAGUAAUUAGAACAACCAUAAAAUUUAUGAUAUCUUCAUCUUAUUCAAUCUCAUUAUAAAUAGUAAUAUUUCAUGAAAUAAAGUAAUCCAUGUAAACGAUAAUUAACCCCAAUCAAUUUUUACUAAUUAAAAUUUUAAGCAUAAAUGCAAAAUAUUUUUAAGUAGAAAUGACAUAUGUAAAAUACCCUUUUAUUUAUCUCUACACAAUUUACAUUUUAUUUAGCUCUACACAUAUAAAAUAUCAAUUUAAUCAGCCCAACUCGAUUUCAAUAUUUUAACAUGAAAAAUCUUAAAUCUUAGGAAACAUAGAAAAUCGAUUUCGUUGAACCUACCCUUAACAUAAAAAAAACGAGAUCGAAUUUAAAUGGAUAAUUUUUUAUAAAUAGAUGAAACUUGAUAAAAUCUUAAACAUAUAUAAAUAUCUCAACAAUUCUAUCACAAAUAUAUGCACAUUCAAACAUCAUCUUCAAACAUCAAACUUAAAAUCAUUUUCAUCAUUCACAAUACCUAGCUAAAUUAUGUAUUCGUAAAUAUGUAAUUCAUUUUAAUCUUAUUUGAUGAGUAAGAAUAUAUAAAUACGUAUUCAAAUCGAUUUUAUCAUAGACGUAUUCAUAUUUUGUGUUUAAUAAACACUCAUGCAUUCACAUUUUUAAACUUAAGUGAAACUUACAUACAAAUCCUAAUAUGAAAUAACAUUUUAUUUCUAAAUUUGAGAAUAAUAAUUCAAAGGUGAGAAGAAAUACGUACCUUCUUUCUUGAUUUUUUCUUCUUUCUCCUAAAUCCUUAAGAGUUUAGCUUAACCUCCAACAUACACUAAAGGUCUCGUUGAUUUCUUCUCCUACUUCUUUCUUUUAUAGUGUUUCCUAAGGGUUUCCCAUCCAUCAAUGAUUUUACCUUUUAAUUUAUCUUUAGAUUUUAAAAGUCACAUAAGGUAAAUCAGGAAUUAUUUCCUUCUUUUGUAAUUUUCUUUCUUUGAAUUCAUUCAUAGUUUAAUUGUUAUUUAAUUUGCAACUUAAUUGCAAGUUUUAAUUCAAAUUAUUUCAAAAACUUCCUUUUUACUUGAUUAGGAUCACCUAAUCAAGAUAUAUAUAUAUAUACCUCCACCUCUUCCUAUUCCUAACCCUAGUCAACUAGUGUGGUCAGCUCUAACUGAAUAUAUAGCUCAUUAAUUGAGUUUAAUCCAUCUAAUUUAAUUAACCCGCCAACUUAAUUAUUAUCGAUUCAACUUUGUAGUUAUAUAUGAUUCAAUAAAAAAAUAUAAUAAUAAAAAUGAUUGCUAUAACAAUUUUUUGAUGGAGAAAAUGAGGAAAUUUUUAGGCCAAAACCACACACAAUAUAUAUACUAGUAUUAAAUAUUUAAUUUGUAGGAAAUACAGGUAUCAAUAUGAGUGGAUAUUUCCUACAUAAAGUUCCUUUAACACAUUCAGUCAUGUCAAGCUCUUCUCCCGGCACACCAUCUGUCAUCUUCCAAUUGAAAUGAUAUAGAAUGGUAGUAAGAAAAAGUUCAACAUUAGCUAGGGCAAAUGUUAUACCAGGACAAAUUCUUUUUCCAGAACCAAAUGGAAUUAAAUCAAAGUGGGAUCCUUUGAAAUCUAUUGGAUUUCCCAUGAACCUCUCUGGUUUGAAUACUUCUGGAUUUUCCCAUUUGUUUGGAUCUCGUCCUAUCGCCCAAGCAUUCACAAGGAUGCUUGUCUUUUCUUCUACAUCAUAAUCAUUUAUUUGACAUUUCUCCCUACAUUCAUGAGGAGCGAGAAGUGGCACAGGUGGAUGGAGCCUCAAGGUUUCUUUGAUGACGUUUUGCAUGUAGCUCAUUUCCUUGCUAAAAGAAUUAUCAUAAUCAUCAGCUUCUGUACCGAUUAUUUUAAAGGUUUUUCUCACCUCAGAUGUCACUUUCUUCAUGGUUUCUGGAUUUUUCACCAACUCAGAUAUUACCCAUUCUAGUGUUGUGGAAGUUGAUUCUGUUCCCGCAAUGAAAAUGUCCUAAAAAUACCAAUUGAAAAAUGAUUUAUAGUGUUUCAAGGAAAUACGUACAUAUAGAUCGACUUUAAUUUUGAGUUAUAAAAAAUGAUCAACUUACCAACAUUAUCGCCUUCAAAUUACUCAUAGUAAAUUCAAAGCCAGAUUCAUUCUUCUUUUGAAUUUUGAGAAGAAUAUCAAGAAAAUCUUCAUCUUCAUCUGCUACCCCAUUUUUGUUAUUUUUUGAUUUCUCAAGAUGUUCAUCUACGACUGUAUUUAGAAUAUGAUCAUUUGUCCUAUACGUCUUUUCCGCUUUUUUCCUCAAACCAGUCAACCAAACGAUGAAUUUCUCCACAGCAGGAAAGUAAUUAGAAAUGUUGAAAUCAACUACAAGAUCAAUAGAUUCCUUCAUUGAAACCAGAAAUGCCUCCUUUUGUCUAAGGUUAUUGCCAAACCCAGCACGGCUGGCGAUGUUGUUGUUAAGAGAAAGAAACAUUUCACUUAGAUUAACUGGAGUACCGUUGGUUGCAGCUUUUGUAAGAACGUGCAUCAUUUCGCAUACUUCUUCUCUUCUCAAUCUGUUAAAAGACUUCACCUUUUUAGCACUGAGAAGCUCAAGAGUGACGAUCUUUCUCAUUUGCCUCCAGUAUUCUCCAUAAGGUGCUAGAAAAAUAUCGGUAUUGUUGUACAUAAUAAUUCUAGCCGUAAAUAUAUCUGGUCGAGAUGCAAAGUUUGUGUCAUGAAUCUUAAGGAACUCCUUUGCAACAUCUGAUGAAGAGACAAUGAUAUGUGGAAUCUGACCGAAUUGUAAGUGCAUGAACGGACCGUGCUUCUUGGCGAGAUCUCGGAAGACUCGAGGAAUGUGGUCGUCGCCUGAAAGAAAUAUGUUAUGAAGAUUGCCAAUGAUGGGAAGCUUAGUUGGUCCUGGUGGUAGUCUUUUGGUGUUUUUCAUCUUAAUUAGAAUGAAAAUCCCCAAUGGUAAGAACAAAGAAAAGACUAAUGACCAUGAUGGGAAUUGAAGCUCCAUUGCGCUUAUCUUUAAUUUGUGUGCAAUAUCAUCCAAUAUUUAUAAAAUAUUAGUGUUCCAAAAUUGUAAAAUAUUUCCCACAAGUUAUUCAAGCCUGAAAUUUGAGAUUUUUUUUUUAAAUUCUAACACAAUGAUAUGACUACUAUAAUAAUGAUAAGUCCAGAGUUCGAAUCUUAAUUUAUACAUUUUUACUUAAAUUUACCUGAUAAUAUAUUAUAUGAAUCUAAUAUAUCAUCUGAAGAUUGACAGUUUUACAUCUAUAAAGAGGUAUCUUCAAAAUAAACUUUGCAUACUUUUCAAGAUAAACUUUGAAUAAUUCAUCCAUUUUAAUUUUCAAGAUAAACUUUGCAUACUUUUCAAGAUAAACUUUGAAUAAUUCAUCCAUUUUAAUUUUCAAGAUAAACUGAAAAAAAUCAUUAAAAUAAAUAAAAUCAUAAAACCGAUUUUUUUUAAUUUAUGCACAAAAAAAAAAUUUUAAGGUAAAAAUCCAAAACAAAUUUAAAAGAGUAAUGGUUUGUCAAACCAAAUAUUAGUCUUCCAAAAUUGUAAAAUAUUUCCCACAAGUUAUUCAAAUGAAAGGAGCAAGCCUGAAAUUUGAAUGGCUACUAAUAUUCAAGCCUGAAAUUUGAGAAUUUUUUUUUUAAAUUCUAACACAAUGAUGUGACUACUAUAAUAAUGAUAAGUUCAGAGUUCGAAUUUUAAUUUGUACAUUUUUACUUAAAUUUACCUGAUAAUAUAUUAUAUGAAUCUGAUAUAUCAUCUGAAGAUUGACAGUUUUACAUCUAUAAAGAGGUAUCUUCAAAAUAAACUUUGCAUACUUUUCAAGAUAAACUUUGUGUAAUUCAUCCAUUUUAAUUUUCAAGAUAAACUUUGCAUACUAUUCAAAUAAAAUAUCAUGAAUAAUUCAAUAUUGACAGGGAAUCAAGUGAGAAAAAAAUCAUUAAAAUAAAUAAAAUCAUAAAACCGAUUUUUUUUAAUUUAUGCACAAAAAAAAAAAUUAAGGUAAAAAUCCAAAACAAAUUUAAAAGAGUAAUGGUUUGUCAAACCAAAUAUAAAAGAGUUGCGACCCACAUCAUUGUAAAUACCUGCAUUAAACUGAGAUGUGUGAAACUUUUACUGUUCACAAGCUUCUGCCUAAAACGUAAGAAUAUAGAAUAUGCAAACUUUAGAGUAGUUAAUAAUACAAGCCAAUGUUAAUCAUAUGUUUAAAAAGAAAUUAAUUUAACAGAUUGAAUAAAAAGGCUCUCUGACGUUAUUGAAUGGCCAUAAAACAAUGAAAAAUGGAUGUAGACAAAGGAUCCUUGGUGUAUUCCGUUGACACUUUUGUAAACUGAGCCUCCUUUCAACAAUCAGGAUUUACAUGCAGCAAUUCGAUUAUCAUCGAAUGCCAACUGCUUUGACAAUAUGCUUUUACACAUCCUACAUUGGCGAUGACUGGUGUCGGUUGAUUUCCCUACUGAGAUGAAAAGCUGAAAAACAUUCCUACGAAUGAUAGUGUCCAUCUUGAAAAGGAAGGUGGACGAACACCCAGAGAAUUGGGCGGACAAGAUCCCCGAGACCAUGUGGGCGUAUCGCACGACCAUCCGAACCCCCACAGGCCAGACACCGUUCGCCCUCGCAUUCGGAAUCAAGGCAGUCGCACCAGCCGAACUUGUAUGGCCAACGGCUCGAAUCGAGCAGUUCCAGCCAGGAGCGAACAACCAAGCACUGCUCUUAGAGAACGAGUGUCUGGAGCACCGAAGAGAGGAGGCGUCCAUCAGGGACCUCACGUAUAAGCGAAGGGUGGCGAGGUAACACAACGAGAGCUAGGGUAUCCGAGAAGAACCUGGCGCAGGGCGACCUCGUACUAAGAAACGUCAAAGUGAUCGACGGGGGUGGAUCAGACGAAGGGGAAGCUAUCGGCAAGAUGGGAAGGCCCGUACGUCAUCAUGGACGAAAUUCACCCGGGCAUCUUCCGCCUAGAAUACGAAGAUGGGCAGGAGAUAGAAAGGACGUGGCACGCCGACAACCUAGAAAAGUAUAGGCGGUGAGGACCGGGGCACCACGCGGGUUCUAUCUUUCUUUUGAUUUUGUUUCUCCCUUUGUAUGUAACAUAUCCGACCACGGCACAUGAUGCCUAAUGAAAUGCACCCAGAGUGCCCCCAUUAAUCAAAAAGCACCCGACUUCCAGACUAAGAGCAAAGAAGUAAAAAAAGGGAGCCCGCCGAAAAGGCCAGCAGAAGGUUCCCAAGGUCGGAAGACCGUGCGGGAACGUUCGAACGGCCCAGGCCGCUCCUCGAAGGAAAACGCGCAAUAAGUAAGAAUGGGAAAACGAUACAUUGUGAAAAAGAAAAAAACUCUAAGUGUCGAAAAGGGAGGCAACGCCCGAUCCCCCGUGGCAUAGGCGAGUUGGGAACGAAGGAGCAAAAACAAGGGGGCCCGUUGAAAAGGCCAGCCGAGGUUUCCCGAGGUCGGAAGACCGCGUGGGAGCGCUCGGACAGCCCAGGCCGCCCCCCGAAGGGAAACAUACAACGAGUAGGACAACGAAAAGGAUAUAUUGCGAAAGAAAGAGAAAGAGAAAACAAGCAUCCAAAAUAACGAAAAAAAUUCUAAAUGUCAGAAUGUGUUUAACGAGCGGAAAGCAAAAAAUACACGGCCGAACGAAAGACCACAACAAUCUGAAAAGGGCUCGGUGUACUCAGGGAAAUCGGCUUCGAGGUUUUCUUCUUCACCGUCACUCGCAUCCACGGUGGGCUGAUAAUUGGGGACGCCCGCAGCCUGCCAAUUCUCCCAGUCACGGACGCUUCGAGGCACGACAAGAUCCUCAAGGGGGGAUGAAUGAGGGCACACAUCUUCCGCCUUUCCAUAAGCUGGCGCGUUUUGAGUCUUGGAGCUGAGUCGUAUGAUCUGAUUUCAUCUCCUCCAGACACUCCUCGAAGGUGGGCACGAAUGACGCCACGAAUUCGUCUUGGGCAGCAGUCACGGCGGAAUGAAGGGCAGCUUUGGCUGCGACGGCACGGUCUCUUUCCUCCUAGGCUGCUUUCGAAGCCUCCGCAACCAGCUGAUCCUGCUCCCGCAUGACGGCAUCCCAUUGCGCUGACAUAUCGUCGACCUGUGCGCACAGAUUUUGGAUCUCUUCGUCUUGGCAGAGGCCAUGCUGCAAACGGACCUUGGUGAGAACCGAGAGCUGGAGCAUCUGGUGAUUGAGGUCACGGUCGAUAUCCGAAGGGGCGCGAUUGAGCUGCCGUACGUACUCCUCUUCCGUCCGCAGCCAGGAGUCGAUGGACGAGAGUUUCUUCUUAAAAAUCCCACCGAGGCGGGGCACGAAGGAGGAGGGGUCGACGCCGGCAGCGAACUCGGACGAGUGCUCGCAAUUCUUCACGAACACAUAGAAGAGGUCGGGAUUCAGCCCAUCCUUCAGAAGAGUGGCUUGAAGGUCGUCAGACAGGACGACAGGUCAGGACCGGGGUAGACGCGGUCUCGAACUCCUCAAAUUUCUUUUUCUCAGCCUGAAUCUUCUUCCUUCUCCGUUUUUCAGCCCGGUGGUCUUCAAUUGCAAUGUCGGCCUCAACAUCGGGCUCGUCUUCGGGAUCUCGAGGCGGGGGCGACGGAGGGUGGAACUAGACUUCAAGGGCCCUCUUCUUGUGCGAGCGCUUGGGCGGAUCGUCCCGAGUAUAAUCCACUUCAACUCCAUAUGCUCCGAGUAGCUCCAGGACUGAGCCAACGUCCGAGCAUUCAUGCCCCCACGGCGAUAGAUGUUGAUCAACACUUCGUUCGCAUUUCUCUGCGUCAGAUAAAAAACAAAAAAAAUAACAACAAGUUACAAGUGCGACAGAUAAAAAACAUAGAGAGCGUCAGGGCAUCUCGGGCGCCACACCCACAAAAGCGAGCCCACCAGCCGAGGAGGCACGGGAGUGGGCACGGAUCGCACCAGGGCGGGCCUAACGGCCCGGCUUCAGGGACCCCGACAAGAAAUGGCGCAGGUCAGUAGCCGGAAGGGACGAGGACCCACGGGAGCGCGCGGUGGCCACGCGACUGACGGCGACGGCCAGUAGCCUCAGCAGGAGAAGCCGCAGGAACUGCGAUCGUGAUGUUAGCAUGGAAGGUGUCCGAGGAUCCACGGGAGCCCGAAGCGGCGGCAGGAGCGGCGUCAGGGGGUUCGACAGCAUACCGGCUCGCAAGGAGGUCAGAGCGGCAAUACUGAAAGAGACGGCGGUGGACGUCGAUCAGCACAGCGUUGAGACGUUGGGUCUCUGCCACGUCCACGUGGUUAGGGACGCCGGCGGGCGACAGCAGGCACAUGGCCCACGCGGUGUGCUGAAGCUGCACUUCACGGCCAUACUCUUCAAGGACAUCCUGAAUGUUCAUCACGAAAGAAGGAAAGAAUGAGAAACCAAUGUAGCAAACACCCUAUUUAUAGGAGGGAAGAAAAAGGGAGCAGCUCGAACCUCGAGGAGUCUUUAAGGCUAAUAAAGAGGAGAGGUUGAAGGCCAGGUACGGACGGGAGGUCCCCGGGCUCCGGCCCCUGAGGAGAGGGGGGAAGUAUUGUUGGUACCAUGGACGGCCCCAACGGUUGAUAGACCGAACGAAUAGCCUUCAAGGCCCAGGCGCACAAAUGGGCCCGAAGGAGCAAGUGGGCCGGAGAACCCAUGAGGCCCAGGAGCAAGCAAGAAACACUAUAAAUACCUCCCCUAGUCCAUUAGGGGUCAAGGAGGGGCACUUUCUGGGCUUCCGAAUCACACCCUAGGGGAUCAAGCCAAGGGGAUAAAAGGUCGAGGCCGUCAUGGCCAUGAGCCCACCACGGACGCUGAAAGAAGUCCAGAAGCUGAACAGAAGGGUGACGGCGUUAAGCAGGUUCCUGCCGAGGACGGCGGACCGCUUACGACCGUUCUUCCAAUUGUUGAGGAACCCAGGACCCAAGGUAGUUUGGUCGGACGAAUGCGAGGCGGCCUUCAAGGAACUCAAGCUCCAGCUCUCGAGCCUGCCAAUGCUCCGCCCCCCAGUGAGGGGGAACCUCUUACCAUGUACGUGGCUUGCUCGGACUCGGCCGUCAGCACGGUACUUAUCUCGGAGGCGGAAGGCGGACAGAGGCCAGUAUAUUAUCACUCCCGGUCGCUGCUGGGAGCGGAGGAGAGAUACCCAGAAAUCGAAAGACUGGCCCUAGCGGUGGUCUCGGCAGUCCGGAGGUUGAAACCAUACUUUCACGCCCACACCGUCACGAUCCAAACGGCCUACCCGCUGCUCCAGCUGCUGCAAAAGCCGGACGUCUCGGGAAGACUGACCAAAUGGGCCAUGGAACUUAGCGAAUUCCACUAGUCAUCGUUCCAGCAAGGGCGGUUAAGGGGAAGGCAGUGGCGGACUUCAUGGCCGAGCUAGCCCCGAGGGACGGCGAGAAGACAGACGAGCAGUGGUGGACAACCCAUGUGGACGGGUCGUCCAACAACACAGGCUGCGGCGCGGGGGUCGUGGUAAAAACCCCGACGGGGGAAAAGAUCGAGUAUUCGAUCCAUUUUGAGUUCUGGGCAACCAAUAACGCAACGGAAUACGAAGCCCUCCUAUCGGGAGUCAGGCUAACGCGCGCGUUGGGCGCGUCCAGGGUGCACUUCCACACGGACUCCCGGCUGGUAGCCAACCAAGUCAGAGGGGACUUCGUAUCUAAGAAAGACUCAAUGGCGAGCUAUGUGACCGAAGCAAGAGCGGCCCUGGGCAAGCUCGAAGAAUGGAAGAUCUCCCAGAUAGGGAGAGAGAGCAACGGGGAGGCCGACACGCUGGCCAAGCUGAGAGCGUCCCCAGGAAAAACAGAAGGAAGGUAGAUCCGAAUCGAGAACCAGGAGCGGCCAACGACAGCCAGCAGUCCCAAGUCGACCGGGGUGUGCGGCAUAAUAACGUCGGGGGAUUGGAGAACACCAAUCAGGAGAUUCAUCGAGGCAGGCGAAGUGCCAGCGGAUCCGAUGGAGGCCAGGAAGCUAAGAAACAGAGCAGCCUGGUUCGUGGUGGCCCAAAGCAGGCUAUACCGACGAUCAGCGGCGGAGGAGGCCCCCCUGCGACUGUGCGUCUUGCGGGAGGACGGGAAAGCCAUCGCACGAAGCCUUCACGAAGGGGCAAGCGGAGCGCACCAAGGCGGAAGAGCGUUGGAAAAGUAGGUAGCCAGGCAAGGCUACUACUGGCCCGAAUCAAUAAAGGAUUCGGAGGAGAUCGUCGACCGGUGCGACGAAUGUCAGAGGCACUCGAACGUCCAGAGGCGGCCGUCCACCAUGAUGAAGGCCGUAGCAACACCGGUCCCAUUCGCAAGGGGAUUGACAUAGUCGGGCUGUUCCCGCCGGCGUCAAGAGAAAGGAAGUUCCUAUUUAUAGCGGUCGACUAUUUCACAAAGUGGGCCGAGGCGGAGGCCACGAACACAAUCAAUGAACAAAACGUGGUAAACUUCGUCUUCAGAAGCAUCGUCUCCCGGUUCGGGGUCCCGAUCCAGAUAGUAACGGAUAACGGGACGCAGUUCACGGGCAAGAAGUUAAGAGAAUUCUGCGAAGACAGUGGAAUCAAGCUGAGCUUCGCGCCAGUAUACCACCCGCAGGUGAACGGGCAAGUGGAGGUCACGAACCGGACGAUAACAUCGAUCCUGAAGAGGAAAGUGGGCGAACACCCGGGGAACUGGGCGGACCUAAUUCCCGAGACUAUGUGGGCAUACCGCACGACCAUCCGAACCCCCACGGGCCAGACCCCAUUCGUCCUCGCUUUCGGGGUGGAGGCGAUAGCACCGGCCGAAUUGGUAUGGCCGACCGCGCAUAUCGAGCAAUACCAACCAGGGGCGAACGAUCAAGCGAUGUUCCUAGAAAGGGAGCACCUAGAGGGCCGGAUAGAGGAGGCGUCCAUCAGGGACCUCACUUACAAACGAAGGGCGGCGAGGUAUCACAACGAAAGAGUGGCCGACAAGAACCUGGCGUCAGGUUAUCUGGUGUUGAGAAACGCCAAAAUAACAGGAAUCGACCAGACAAAUGGGAAGUUGUCGGCAAGAUGGGAAGGCCCGUACGUCAUCAUGGACGAAAUUCACCCAGGCAUCUUCCGCCUAAGAUAUGAGGAUGGGCAAGAAAUCGAAAGAACGUGGCACGCCGACAACCUGGAAAAGUACAGGCGGUGAAGCAACGUGUCCGAGACCGGCGAAAGAGUUCUUUUUCUUUUUUCUUCCUUGUCUCGUUUCCCCCCUUCCCAUGUAACGUCGGGCACCCCCCCGACCACGGCACGCGAUGCCCAGUAAAACGCACCCGGAGUGCACCCAUUGUAAAAGGAAAAAAUGAGAAGUAAAAAAUUGGGGGAGCCCGCCGAAAAGGCUAACGGAAAGCUCUCAGGGUCAGGAGACCGCAUGAGACCAUCCGGAUGGCCCAGGCCGCUCCCUCAAAAAAUGGAAAAAACGCAAUAAGUAAGAACGCGAAAGCGAUAUGUUGCGAGGCAAGGAAAAAGCAGGGGAGCCGCCGAAAAGGCUAACGGAAAGUCCUAAGAGCCAAAAGGCUGCAUGGGAACGUCCGAAUGGCCUAGGCCGCUCCUCCCAAGAAAGAAAGCAAUUGAAGUAAGAGAGAAGUUUAGCGUGGAAAAGGACCGGCCGGGACGUUCCUAGCCAGCAAGCUACGCAGAGCACCUAAACGAGCGACAACGCCACCCAGAAAGGACAGGGGCGGUGAGUAAACGAACGCGGAAGGAGAAAAGGUCAGAAGAAGAAGAACAGAGGGCGAUUGAAUACAUUCAAGAUUUACGAAUGAAUAUAAAAACGAAAAAAAGUUAAGUGUUUUUACAUUACAAAGAAAAAGAAGAAAAUAAAAACUGUUCAGGGACGAACGAAGGGUAUUCGAGGGGAGGCUCGGUGUAAUCAGGAAAGUCGGCCUCAAGGUCCUGCUCCUCGCUUUUGCUCACGUCCAGGGGAGGCUGGUAGGAGGGGACGCUCGUUUUUCUCCAUUCUUCCCAAUCUCGGCGGCUCCGGAGCACGACGCCGUACGAAAGGGGCGAGUAGACGAGUUCACACAUCCGGCGCCCGUGCUGAUAGCCCUUCCAGAAGCCGGCACGUUUGGAGUCCUUCAUCAAGAUGGCGUGGUCCUGCUUCAGCUCCGCCAAACGGUCUUCGAAGGUUAGAACAAAGCCCUUAAUGAACUCGUCCUGAGCCACAGCCACGGCGGCGACAAGAGCGUCCUUCGCAACAGUGGCCCGAACCUUCUCCUCCGCGGCAGCCCGGCAAACAUCAGCGGCCAGAAGGUCCCGUUCACGCACGACCGCCUCCAGCUGACCCUUCACCGCGGCAAGCUCGGCGUGCAUCUGCUGAACCUCCUCGUUCUACCGAAGACCCUGCUCCAACCGAACCUUGGUGAGAACCGAAAGUUGAAGCAUCUUGUGGUGCAGGUCGCGGUCGAGGUCCGACGUUGGGCGCGAAAGCAGCCGAACGUACUCAUCCUCCGGCUCCAACCAGGAAUCAAUGUCGGGGAGUUUUUUCUUGAAAAUCCCGUCGAGACGGGGCAGGGAGGACGCAGAGUCGACGGGAGCGGAGAAGUCCAUCGAGUGUUCAAUGCUCCGUACGAAGGAGCGGAAGUGUUCAGGAUCCAAUCCAUCUUUCCGGAGAGAAUCCAGAAGCUCGGCAGACAGGGGGUCAGAGCGGCUGGGUUCAGAGGAGCCUAUGUUUUCCACCACGACCGCGCAUCUCCAGGGCAUCGGCGACAGACUUUCGUUUCGCGGACCAAAUCUUUUUCCGUCGUCGUCGUUCGGCCCGGCUGUCUCGAAGGCCAGUGUCAGACUCGGCCGGGACGUCACCCUCGGCUCCGAGAUCGCACGAAGGCGGGGACUCAAACUGAAUGGCGUCGUGCGGCCGUUUCUGUUUCUGACGUUUGGGCGGCCCGUCCCGAGCGUAAGAUGUCUUGACGGGCAGAGCCAGGUGUGCGUCAUAACUCCACGACUGGGCCAGUGUCCGGGCGUUGACGGCCCCGCGGCGAUAGAUCUCGGUAAAAACCUCAUGGGCGCAUAAUGCCUGGGGCGCCAACGCGUCUCGGCCAGGGGCGGCGGUCCGAGUCUUCAGCUGGGUCAGCAGAGCCCAGCGAGAGGGGAGAGGCGCCUCCGGAUCUGACGGACCAAGGGCGCCCACGGGGACGAAGAAGAACCGGUCCCGCCAGUGGUGUGAUCGGUCGACCAGUUGGUCGAAGAGGGCACCGGCCGAUCUUCGCCAGAGCAUCCCGGAUCACGUCGGCUCCAACCGUGGAUAGAGGGUUCUUGCUGGAGGGGGCGGCAAAAAACGAUUCUGCAAGAGCAGCGCCGGCGUCAGAGCGAGAAGCGGCAGCGGAGCCAGCGGCAGAGGGAGGAGGAGCAGCCAUUAGCAACCUGGUGAAGGAAGGGAGUCGGAGUCGAGGAAGACGAAAAGCGAGGUGAGAGGAAAUGAAAAUCAGUCGCGAGUGAAGAAGGGGAGCAGGGUUUAUAUAAGGGUUCGAGGGCGCGGAAGACGAGGCGUCGCUUACCUGGAACGGAUGGGACCGGUUGGGCCGGGAGGCCUCCGAGGGAGCCCAAGGUCCUGUCCGUCGGGAAGCAGAGUGAAGGUCAGCGCCCGUCGCGGACGGCAAGGCGUUGGAGAGACGCCCGGCGAAGACCCGGCGGCGUCCAGCGACCAAACAAUGCGCGCGGAGCGAGGCGGCAGUGUCCAAGCAGGCCCACCGGCGGGCCCGACCAAUGGAUCGAACGAAACGACGUAACGGGCGAGCCCCCGCGUCGGCGAAGGGGGGACCCGCGGUGGGGAGCGAGGGCAGAGCUCAAGAAGGGCCCGGGCAACGUCGGCAGAAGACGCCGAAUAGCGCAAAGCUGCACCAACGUGCGAAGGCGAAGUCAAAACACGAGAGAAAGAAAAAGCGAAGGAAAAGCAUGUAUUAAAGCAAAGCAAGUGUUACAAUAGCCGGUGGCACGGAGGGAGAACAAAACAUAACAACAACGAAGUACGGGUACAGAAAAAAAGAGGAAAAGGGAUCGCCGGGACGUCCCAGACGUCGCCCCACGAAGGCAAACCCAUAGCCUGAAAAGGCGUGGGAGCGAUUGCGGAUAGCUCCACGAUGGGCCUAGCGGGCCGGCUUCGAUGACCCCGACAGGAAGUGGCGCAGGUCAGUAGCCGGAAGGGACGAAGACCCACGGGAGCGGCGAGGGCCGCGUGACCGACGAGGCUUUCUCAAAAAAUCGGCAGCAGCAGCGACAGCAGGAACGGCGAUCGUACCAUGCGCGUUGAAGGCGCGCGAGGUACCAACGGAGCCCGGGACGGCGGCAGGAGAGGCAUCGGGGUAGGCGACGGCAGGAGGGCUCGCGAGGAGGUCGGAGCGGCGAACCUGGGAGAGGCGACGGUGGACGUCGAUCUGCAAAGCGUUGAGACGUUGAGUCUCAGCCACGGUCACGCUAUUAAGGACGCCAGCGGGCGACAACAGGCACAUGGCCCAGGCGGCGUGCUGAAGUUGCACUUCGCGGCCGUACUCCUCGAGGAUGUUUUGAACACUCAUGGCGAAGGAAGGAUGGUGUGAGAAGUCGAAGAGGCGAGUGGGCUAUUUAUAGGAAGGAGAAGAGGGAGCGGCUCGAACAUCGAGGAGCUUUAAAGGAGAUGGUUGUAGGCGGGGCGAGGACGGGCGGCCCCUGGGCCCGGGCCCGUCGAGGAAGGGGGGAGUACUGUUGGUACCAUGGACCGCGGACCGCGGCCCAUGGACCGAACUGGGCCGAUCGGCGGCUCGGGCGAACGGGCGGGCCCAACGUACGAGCCCACGAGGCCCUAAGGACAGCAGUGGAAGGCUAUAAAUACCUCCCCUGGUUCAAUAGGGGAGGCGGUUGAUAAUUCUAAGAGUGAUACUUGUACUAAGGUUGGACGGCGAGCUUACUCCGGCGAGCCCACACACCAACAUGUGUAUAUAUAUAUAUAACCGAAUAGCUCAUUAAUUGGGUUUAAUCCAUCUAAUUUAAUUAACCCACCAACUUAAUUUUUUUUUAAGGCGAUUUUUAUAAAAUAAAAUUAAAAGAGUACAAAGGAUAAAAAAAACAUAAUGAUAAACGAAAAAAAACUGAAAACAUAGCGUGAAUCUCCAUCGUGUCUAUCUAUGACUAGCUUCGGAUCGUGUUUUCAGUUGAAAUAACUCAUGCCUGAAACUUUUAGAACCUUUAGAGAGUUUCAAUACUUGUCUUCACUUGUCUUCAUCUUUUUCUAUCCCUGCAACUGUCAUCUUUUUCUUCAAUCAUCUUUCCCAUCUAGUAACACAUCACAUUUCCUCUUCCAUUUCCUAGAUUGCAUUUGUCAUCUAACGAUAUAACCUCCUGAUUUCCCUUCUAGAUUAAAUCCCUAGUUUUUCAUCCUCAAACGGGAAGAAAAUUGGUUAAAUCUGAAAGUAACUCAGAACGAAAUCGAAAAAGCUUCUUGAUCUGCGGGCGAGGCCAUACAGCGACAAGGAGAAGUGGCGAGAAGUUUUCUUUCCCUCCUCUGCACCCGAAAAGGAGCAACGGAAUCACGAUCAUAAAAGAAAUGAGAAAAAAUCGAAUAAGUUUCAGGAGGCAAAAAACAAGUGGAGAGAUAAGGAGUUGCGGGUGAGGAUCUAAGACGACGAUCUACAAUGGAGAAGGAAAACGGUGAAAAAAGGGAAGAAGAAAAAGCUUGUCUCCCCCCCCCCUCUCUUUUGAGAAAGGAACCCACCAACUUAAUUAUUAUCGAUUCAACUUUGUAGUUAUAUAUGAUUCAAUAAAAAAAUAUAAUAAUAAAAAUGAUUGCUAUAACAAUUUUUUGAUGGAGAAAAUGAGGAAAUUUUUAGGCCAAAACCACACACAAUAUAUAUACUAGUAUUAAAUAUUUAAUUUGUAGGAAAUACAGGUAUCAAUAUGAGUGGAUGUUUCCUACAUAAAGUUCCUUUAACACAUUCAGUCAUGUCAAGCUCUUCUCCCGGCACACCGUCUGGUAUCUUCCAAUUGAAAUGAUAUAGAAUGGUAGCAAGAAAAAGUUCAACAUUAGCUAGGGCAAAUGUUAUACCAGGACAAAUUCUUUUUCCAGAACCAAAUGGAAUUAAAUCAAAGUGGGAUCCUUUGAAAUCUAUUGGAUUUCCCAUGAACCUCUCUGGUUUGAAUACUUCUGGAUUUUCCCAUUUGUUUGGAUCUCGUCCUAUCGCCCAAGCAUUCACAAGGAUGCUUGUCUUUUCUUCUACAUCAUAAUCAUUUAUUUGACAUUUCUCCCUACAUUCAUGAGCGAGAAGUGGCACAGGUGGAUGGAGCCUCAAGGUUUCUUUGAUGACGUUUUGCAUGUAGCUCAUUUCCUUGCUAAAAGAAUUAUCAUAAUCAUCAGCUUCUGUACCGAUUAUUUUAAAGGUUUUUCUCACCUCAAAUGUCACUUUCUUCAUGGUUUCUGGAUUUUUCACCAACUCAGAUAUUACCCAUUCUAGUGUUGUGGAAGUUGUUUCUGUUCCCGCAAUAAAAAUGUCCUAAAAAUACCAAUUGAAAAAUGAUUUAUGGAGUUUCAAGGAAAUACGUACAUAUAGAUCGACUUUAAUUUUGAGUUAUAAAAAAUGAUCAACUUACCAACAAUACCGCCUUCAAAUUAUUCAUAGUAAAUUCAAAGCCAGAUUCAUUUUUCUUUUGAAUUUUGAGAAGAAUAUCAAGAAAAUCUUCAUCAUCAUCUGCUACCCCAUUUUUGUUAUUUUUUGAUUUCUCAAGAUGUUCAUCUACGACUGUGUUUAGAAUAUGAUCAUUUGUCCUAUACGUCUUUUCCGCUCUUUUCCUCAAACCAGUCAACCAAACGAUGAAUUUCUCCACAGCAGGAAAGUAAUUAGAAAUGUUGAAACCAAGUAUAAGAUCAAUAGAUUCCUUCAUCGAAAUCAGAAAUGCGUCCUUGUGUCUAAGGUUAUUGCCAAACCCAG
rnacentral:lncRNA from 1 species